UUAAACAAAUUCUUCUAUUAUUUUAUUUCCCUUCUAUUAAUUAAUUUCUUAACUUAUUAUUUAUCUCAAAUCUUUUUUAAAUAAAUCUUUAUAAAAUAAGUUGCUGUUUUAAUAAUUAUUAUUUAAAUAAAAUUAAAUAUUAAAUUAUUUUUAUAUAAUUUUAUUUAAUUAAUAAUUUAACUUAUAAAAUUAUAUAAAAAUAUAAAAAAACUAAAAUUUAUUAUAAAAAUAUUUUUAUAUCCGCAGCAUCGUGCGGGUAUUUCACUAGUAAAAUAAUAAAAGGUUGGAUUCAUUUAUCAAUUCUUUUUUAUGGUUGUGUGAUCACAUUACUACCCAAACCAAUUUUCCUUUAGUAAAGAGAAAGAUGUCAUCAGUUGUUUAAUUUGGCCUGCCUACUGACCAAAAAGAUCAGUUUUUUCUGCAGUUAAAAAGAUAAAAAUGAAUAAAACUUAUCUGAACUACAGACAAUUUUAAUUCGACCAUCUAAUCAUUUAAAAAGCUUAAUUUUAAUAUUCAACCUUUUAAUUUGUUCAGUUUUAAUUUGGUGGGCAAUCAAGUGGAGUGAAGUUAAAUUUAGCAAUUAAUUUUUCUUUAUUAACUAGUUAAUUCCAUUCUAUUCUAAUAAGAUAAAAGGAUACAAAACUUAUCUAAACUAUAAACAAUUUUAAAUCAAUACCUAGUCUUUUAAAAUUUUAAUUUUGCUAUCCGAUCUCUCAAUUUGUUUGAUUUAAAUUGGUCAACAGCAAAUCGACUUUGAACUUUAAGCUAAUUACUCCAAUGAAAUUAUAGUUGCGAAAAUUAUAUGAAAUAUACGAACUAAACAUAUAAAGAUAAACAUAAUUUCAAAAUUUAAAAUCAAAGUGUUAUAUAUCCCGAACUCAUAUCUGUAUUUUUACCUAAACCAAAUGAAGUCGAACACCUACAUAUAAAUUUAUAUAUAUCUAUAAAAUUAUAUGAAAUAGUCAUUGUUGGGCCAAUAACGCGCUGCCACGUGGUAUGCUGGUGCACCAUUCAACUCCAAUCUUUAAGAGCAAUGAUUAAAAAAAAAUUUAGUGUACACCGAAAGCAUCGACAAUAAUACUAAGUAACCACCGGGUGUAAUUGAAAAAAGUUACAGUAACUGCAAGUGGUUACGAGCGAUUCUGAUCGGCUUAAGGUGGCCCGAAAAAAUAGGAGUAGUGGCCAAUUAUGGAUGGGGCAAUAACAGAUUAAUAAGGGCGACCUAUAAAUAAGCAAAUAACGCCGAGAAGAGGGAUCUUUUUUACGAGAAUAGAAGACCACCUUUACUUCCUCUGCAUUUUCCUUAUAUUUUCUAGUAGUCUACUUGUUGCAUUUACUAGUAGUCUAUUUAUAAUCCUUUACUUUCCCACAUCUACUAUUUUUCCUAGGAGUAAUUGUAGUUUAGAUCAACCGAGUCUAUAUGCCCUCAGGUACACUCAUCCCUUGUACUAGUUUCUCAUGUUAAUUCCAAUAUAUAAAGGCAUUCGGCUCUUCAGCCGACCCAAAGCAUAGUGCAUUCCGUACAUUCGGCUCAUAUAGCCGAAUCGAAUCUAUAGUAAAAGGUUCUGAACUCGGCUGAUCCGAUCCCUUAUCAGCCGAAUCCCUUGAUCCAAUCGAAGGCGCAAACUUCAAGGGUCACAUUUCGACAUAAUCAAUUCACAUUCUCUGUACGGCUUUUUCUCUCAGCCGUUCUUUUCUUUUCUGCGGCCACGAUCUCGGUAUUUUCUUUUGUGUUACAUGUGGCAUUUAUUAGGUCAUAUUAAUUGCCGUCGUCUCUUGAUCAUUAUAGCCGUCCUCGGAAAUCGAUUCGACGUGACGGCUUUUCUUCUUUCGUCUUCACCAAGUUUCUUUUCUUUGCUUUUUCUCGUCUUCUCCGCUCUGAGUCUUAGUCUUCUCUACUUCUUCAUCUUCUUCACUACCUUUCCUUUUUUGAUCUUUAUUUUUUUUUUCAUAUUAACAAUGGCAUCGCUUCCAUCUCUUCCUUCUUCUCUGUUAUUAGAUUACACCAUACUUAGGCAGUUUAUUCCAUCGGACUCUUCUUGGUUCAUCUUAAAUUCCUCUUUUACUGACGAACUAAACCCUGAUGAUUUCCCAUACUCGAGUGUUGGCCUUCCGCUAAUGGCUAAAUCCAUUCAUCUUCAUUCUUGGUAUCCAUCAGCUUCAAUAGAGAGAAGUCUCUGAACCUGGCCAAACGUUUUAGAUGCAAACCUUAUUUGGUUAGACCGGGUAGAGGCUACCUAUGUUGAUUUUUGGCGGAAAGUUAGUAUUUAUGAGGCAAUACAAUUAUCUCGGAAGCCUCAUAUAGCCGAUAACCUCCUCUUGGCUGCGGCUCUCUGUUUUUGGUUCCUUGUUUCUAAUAUUUUUCUUUUCAAAGGAGGACCCCUCACUCCUCUUCUUGAUGUCGCCGCCAUCAUUGGUUUACGCCCUCAUGGAGUUACUCUUUCAGUGACUUACAAUCCUGAUGGCGCAUCUGAUUUUGAAGCCCAUCUCGAUCUCAACGAUCUUGCUUAUACCAAAUUUCUCCGCAAGUUUGCAGAUGAGUCUCCUACUAUGAUCACUAGGAAGGAGCAUACAACAUUCCUCAUGUAUUGGUUAUGCCACAAUCUUUUUUGUACUCGUUGGCAGAAAAUCAAUCGGGAUUUUGUCCCGAUCGCCGUCGGUUUAACUAACGGCGAAAGAUUAGCUUUAGAAAUAUAUUUCCUUACUUUUAUUUACAAGAAAAUUUUUGAUUCCAUUAGACCGCUACUGUAAGGACUGAGAUUUUUGACUGUGCAACUAAACUCUCUGUUGACGAUGUUUAUGUGUGUAAUUUAAUUACAUAAGCACUCGUCAAGUUUCAGGAGAAAAUGAGCUUAAACGGAGAAGUUACGCGAUUAUUAGUUUUCACUUAAGUGAAUAGUAACUCCGGUUUUCCGAAGAGGCCACGGAGUAGAGUUGGCUUCUGGUGCGUAUCGGACUCCGUUCAUAGCAGUCCAAUAGCUCAUUUCGAAGGAUUCAGCUAUUCUGGAACUACUGGCGCUGACGGAUUUUGAGUUUGAUGCACGGAUUUUGAGAAAAUCUAAAAAUACGCGUUUUAUAUGUAAUUGUGCGUCAUUUUGGCCUUAUGGAGAGAGAUUGGAUUUCGUCGCGAAUCCGUGACCGUUCGAGGUGAACCAAAAUGGUAGCUUUGUUGUCUCCGAAGUGCUGAUCGCACUGGUACAAUCCGUUCGCAAAUCUGACGGACGGAUCUACGGAGAUCGCACGUUGAUCGAGGAGAGGUCGGUGAUGGCAAAACGGUAAUUUCGCAAAAGUUGCGACAUUUUAUGUACCGAAUCGCGUGAGAUCGGACGUGGAGGUUUGUACGCGCAAGUUGCAUGCCCUGGCAGGGGCUGAACCUUAAAUAUUUUGUGUUGGAGGGGUUUUCUGCAAAAGUCCACUUGUAUAUAUUUUGGUAGUUAGGGUUUUUGGGCACGAAACCCUAGAUCGAGUCACCUUCCUCCCCCAGCAAACCCUAGAUGACUUCAACCCAUCCCUGCCCUCGUCGUGCUCGCACCCCUGCCGCCGGCGAGCAACCCCGGCCACCGGAAAAGCUCCACCUCCCUUUCCUCCAUCAUCUCCAUCACCACCUUCUCCACCCACCGCGGCCUCUUGACUUCGGGAAGCCACCCCUGGUUUGAGCCUAUGGUUGGCCGAGGCUUCCCCUCCGGUGCCGUCACCGGCCGUCCCCGCCGCCUGCGCACGCCGCCGGAGCCGUCCGAGCAAGCCACGGCCAACUCGGGUCAACCCAGACCGAGCGGACUUGAGCUCAGGGCCCGCUAGGUAAAGCAGCCCUAGAUCGGCCGCGCCGCUUUCCCUCAACCCCCGGCGACCCUCCGCCGCCGUCGCCGCCGUCCCCGCGCGCCGUCGGCCACCGCCGGAUCUCUCUGCGGCCAUCUGGAGCGCGUGCGGGCCAAACUUGGACCCGCACUGCCUCCGUGCGCCGCCGCCGCCCUAGGCCGUGCGCGCCGCCUUCCCCUUGACCUCCGGCGCCGUCGCCGCCGUUCCCCGCCGUCCAUAUUGGCUGUGGUGCCGCCUGGACUCGCCGCAGCCGCCCAGACUCGGAGCGGGCCGAGCUUGGGAGAUCUCUGCCUCCGCGCGCCUCCGCCGCUCCCUGCCGGCAGUGCCGCCCUCUGGAAGCCUCCGGUGACCUCCGGCGUGCGUCCCCCGCCGUCCCCGCACGCCGCCGGCCGCCGCUGGGUACUCCCGCAGCCGCCCAGACCUGUGCGGGUCGACCUUGGAGCCGCGCCGCCCCCGAGCGCCGCAGUCGCCCACCGAGGGGUACCUCGCCUUCCCCUCGGUCUCCGGCACUGAACCGUCGUCGUCCCGAGCUCCCCCGGCCGCCGCCUCGCCGCCGGCAACCUUGAACCCGAGAGGGACUGGGCGGGCUUGAUCUCCGCCGCCGCGCCACCGGCUGCCGCCCGCCGCCGGCCAGCACCCUCCCCGGACCUCUCGGACCGACUGCUCCCGUCCCCGACCGGAGCGCCCGCCGUCCGAUCGCCGGCGGCCAAUCCUUGCUCCCACAUCUCCGGUAUGCUUUUAGUUUGCUUUCCCGCACUGUGUUUGCACUUUUCGGUCACCUUUCCGGUGAUCCGACGACUCCCCGACACCCCAGGAGGUGAGCACGGUGAUCGUGGGUUCGUGCUGAAUAUGAUGCUCACCUCUGUGAGGGUUAGGGAUGCCCCGGUUAGUGGGUUUAGGUAGAUUUUCAUGCUGUGCGCGCUUGUUCGCUGAUCGUCGUGCCGCUCGUGCGCGCGCUGUUGGGGCCGGCAGUGCUCCGAAGGGUGAGCACGGCCUCAGGCAUGCUGAAAUCUAGCAGCAGGUGUGAUGUCACCCUUCGUUGAUCCCUGGUUUGCUUGUACGACUCGUCGGAGCCAUGAAAUCACAUAAAAUGAUGUGAUUUCAUGUGUCGUUAGGGACUUGUUUGCAGUUCACUUUGUUGUAGCUGUUGUUGGCGGCAGGUCAGGGCUGGGGACAACCUCUGGACUGAUUGUCCAAGGCCCCAGACCCUUGCGAAGAUCGGAAAAUGCAUUUCCGGUGCGUUUUUCGGCGAAAUCCGCCUACGGAACGCGGGUUCGGUUCGGAAUUAUUCCGACGAUGCUUCGUGAGCUUUUGUGUAGUCGCUGAGCCUUAUUGGCUGGUCACUCGCGUCAUUUCAAGAGUUCAGAAAUGACGGAUGAGCGACGGUGGGUUCCGGUGUCGAAAUAGACACUUCCGGAAAUCCGGAUCCCAACAAUUAUCCACCAAUAGUUGUUUGGUUGUGUAUCCUUGUGUUUGCUGCCAUGUCACACUAAAAUAAGUGUUUAGUGGCAGCAGGUGACUCGUAGCUCGAGUCGGUAUGUUCCGGGACAGUUCGUGGCUCCCGGCGGAGUCCCCGUGCGAUUAUGGGACUUCCGGCGUAUUACGGCGAUCGGUUUGGAAAACCGAUCUCCAUGGGUUUGCUUGUAGGUUGUGGAUCUAGUGAUUAUUAGCUGUGGGUUAGACACUAACCCGGUGGACCUUCCUUAGGUCCGGUUGACGUCCUUUUGCAGUCAGGAGACAGGCGCAGCAUUUGUACAGGUGGGUACUUCGAUCCGACGUCGGUACAGUGGUGCACGCUCGGUGAUGGUUUCCUACCUCUGUUCUCUCGUUAUUAUCUGGCAUUUAUAUAUAUAUCUUGAUAUAUAGUGUUGAGCUUGCAUCCCCGUUGUUUUUAUUAUACUCUACUCAUAUGUUUCUAUGCUUAGUAUCAUGUGUAGAAGUAGAGUAGUUUAUCCAUUGUGAUCCCGGUGACCUGAUUGGUCGGUUCUCGUACUUUGUUCGGUGACCUGAUUGGUCGGUUCUCGUACUUCGUUUCGGUGACCUGGUUGGUCGGUUGUUGCAUUAUGUAUUGGGUUGGUCUGUUUCUUGACUUCUGUCGUUCGAUGACCUUUGAGGUCGGUGUACCCUGAGGGGUAGGAUUGUCGGCUGGUGCUGACGGUAGUUCUGGACUAUAUCGAAUACACUCCUGUGACCUAUCGGUCGGUUCUUGCGUUCGUACUUUUAGUUGACAUCGAGCAGUAUCUACAUACUAUCUUUAUUUACUCUGCCUGGUUGUUCUAUGUGUAGUAUCCUGUAUAGGGGUAGAGUAGAUGGCAUUCGUAUAUACUAUACUUGUGACCUGGUUGGUCGGUUCUCCUAUUUGCAUCGGUGACCUGUUUGGUCGUUCGUUACUUUCCGUACAUUGACCUAUCUCGGUCGGUUCACGUUGUUACUUGAUGACCUACACGGUCGGUAUGCCCAGAGGGGCAGUGAUUGUCGGCUGAUUGCCGACGGUUGGCUAUUGAUCAUAUCCGCAUUGAUCGCCACAGCUCGAGUGCAUUUCACGUACACCAGCGGGUUGAUCCCCCGCAGGAGGGUGUUCUUUUCCGGAAAAGUGGUCGUACAUCCGACCCGUGAGCCCAGCGGUGUUCUCUUUGUGCUAGGGUUACAUGCCAGGUGUGAGCAGAUAGUGGCUUUUGCCUGAGGUCCUUAGACCGACACGGCGGUUUAGAUUGGGUACUUUUGGACUUCUCGUCCGGUUGACGCAUAUAGCUAUAGUAGCGGUUGUUGCAUAUAUACUUCUAGUUCUUUCUUUACAGUUGUCUUGCUACUAUAGUUUUGAUAUCCUUGUAUGCUUGCAGUUGUACAUUACAGUAGCGGUAGUUGUGUUUUCAUAUAUAUAUAUCUCGUUCGUUCAUUAUCGUUGCUACUGUAUUUUACUUACCCAUACUGUUGGUUAUCUCUUCCUGAUCCGGUGAGUACUCCUCGCCUUCUUCGGCUUGCGGUACCCACUGGGAGGGGAGACAUGUUUACAUGUUCUCACCUCCCCCACCAUUUUUCAGGUAUCGCGGGCGAUGAGUAGUGGGACGAGACGUGAGGUACGUGUGUAGCGGUCGAUAGAGCUUCCGACCCAGGUUAUUUCGAUUUAGUUAUUAUCCUUGAUACUUCUGUUGAUAUAUAGUUUAGUUGGUUUAUGUGGUUCAGUAAUUAAUUACUUUUGAAAAUGCGGAUUUCUGGAUUUUGUAAAAUAAAAGAUUUUCUACCCCUCGUGGUAGCGUUUUUAAAAGAGUAAAGGUUUCUGUGUAGGAAACAGCUUUCAAAAGAUUUUUGUGGAUUUCUGUUUAAACCUUGAAUGUAAAACUGUGAUGUGAAUGGUGAAUGCAUGAAUGUAUAGUUAUCUUUAUAUUCAUCUGGUUGUGGUUGUAUCCUGGUUGUACUGUGUAUUUGAUCGACGCCGUGCAAAUACAGGGGAGACUCUGUCCGUGUGAACAGUGGAUUCCCUGUAUUUGUGGCGGAUCUGGCAUACUCUGGGGUCAGAUUUUCAAAAAAAAAUUUUCAGACGCUUUUCCGCUUUAUUUUAAACUGAAAAGGGACCCCGGGGCGUGACAGCUACCUUCUGGAGAGGGUUUAACAAUCAGCUCUGGUGGUGGUGUUUUUUGAUUUUUUGUAAAUAUUUUUGCAAAUUUAUUUUCCUAAUUUGUACCGAGAUCCUUUGAAUCUGGACUCGGCUCCUCACUUUGACACUUACGGGUUAGCUCUCGGCUGUUCCCAACCGUUAACGUCAGGUCACCAUUUUGAUUUUGCCUUUUACUUCACAAUUUUCUAUGAAUUAGGUCCUCAUUUUCUCAUUUCAUGGUCUCCGUUUGCCGAGCGUGUCACUGGCCCACCUUGGCUUCUUGCUUGGUAUGAGGUCAUUCAAGGCGAACUGGCUUCUUUUCGUGCUAGUGAAUAUUCAUACGUUUGGUUUUCUUUCUUGGCUACAAGGGAUCUGCAUAUUGGAUUGAAAUCAUGCUCGAAACUGCUGCCUCGCACCGAAGUUUAUUUUUUCCAAUACGAAGCGCGUCAAUUUAGAUUUGUGCAAGCAAUUCCUGGCCCAGUCAAAUUCUUCAAAGCUAAUACUGCUAUCAACCGGCCCCCUACUAAAAGUACAGCCGAAACUGAUUGGAUUUCAAUUAUGAAAAAUCGUCUUCGGCGGUUCUUCAAGUUGGUGAGCUUUAGGUCAAAUCACACAGGAGUGAUGGGCUUUCGCUUUGCCGUUACUUGGGACUACUUUGCCGAUCGUGUCUUCGGUUUAGUCACACAACAAGCGAUUCGCAAGACCAUCCAUCCACUUAGUACGUCCCUUGCUUACUAUUACAAUUACUCUUUUUUUAGAACGAUUUUUACUUAUUUUAUCCUCCAUCCAUAGCAGUACCCUUUCCGAACAGAGAUUUUUCGCUUGAUGCUACUGCUCAAUCUGAACCAGGAGACGGAUCGGAAGAGACUUCCAAUCAUAACUCUGAUGACCCACCUUCUUCUUCUGCGGUAAGUUUACUCUUGUUGUUUGGCUUUUUUUUUUUCUUACAUGAUCUUAUUGCUUACUUUUGUAUAUCUAAUGUAUGUACAGCCAAUUCCAACCUCUUCAUCGGUCCCAGCUUCAGAAAAAUGACCGAUAGAGCCUAAACAAUCUACCCCUCCGCCGCCUCCGAAGCGGCGUAAGUCGGUUGCCAAGAAGUCAUCCUCUAAGAGAGCCGAAAAUACACCUUCGGCUGAUGUUUCAGAAAAGAUAUCUGUUCCCGAUCAACCGAUCUCAAUUAUCAGGAGCCAAAUUCCCUAAGUAACGGCAUAGUAAAAGCCCAUCACUUCUGUGUGAAUUGGCCUAAAACUCACCAACUUAAAGAACCGCCAAAGACGAUUCCCCAUAGCUGAAAUUCGAUCAGUUUCGGUUGUACUUUUAGUAGGGGGCCAGUUGACGGCAGUAUUGGCUGUGAAGAACUUGGCUGGGGCAGGAAUUGCUUGCACAAAUCCAAAUUGAUGCGCUGCGUAUUGGGGAGAAUAAAUCUCGGUGCUAGGCAGCAGUUUCAAGCGUGAUUUCAAUCCAAUAUGCAGAUCCCUUGUAGCCAAGAAAAAAAUCAAACGUCCGAAUAUUCACUGGCACGAGAAGAAGCCAGUUCGCCUUGAAUGGCCUCAUACCGAGCAAAAAAUCAAGGUGGGUCAGUGACACGCUCGGCAAACGGAGACCAUGAAAUGAGAAAAUGAGAAUGCGAUUCAUAAAAAAUUGUGAAGUAAAAGGCAAAAUCAAACGAUGACCUGACAUUAACGGCUGAGGACAACCGAGAGCUAACCCGUAAGUGUCAAAUUGAGGAGUCGAGUCUAGAUUUAAAGGAUCUCGGCACAAAUUAGAAAAAUAAAUUUGCAAAAAUUAGAAAACACCACCACCAGAGCCGAUUAUUAAACCCUCUCUAGGACGUAGUGGUCUAAUAGAAUCAAAAAUUUUUCUAUAAACAAAAGUAAGGAAAUAGGUUCCUAAAGCUAAUCUUUCACCGUUAGUUAAAUCUACGGCGAUCGGGACAAAAUCCCGAUUGAUUUUCUGCGAACGAGUGCAAAAAAGAUUGUAGCAUACCCAAUACAGAAGGAAUAUUGUAUGCUCUUUCCGAGCGACCGCAGCAAGAGACUGACCUGCAAACUUGUAGAGAAAUUUGGUAUAAGCCAGAUCGUUCAAGUCGAGAUGGGCUUCAAAAUCAGAUGCGCUAUCAGGAUUGUAAGCCACUAAAAGAGUAACUCUAUGAGGGCGUAAACCAAUGAUGACAGCGACAUCAAGAAGAGUAGGAGUAAGAGGUCCUUCUUUGAAAAGAAAAGUGUUAAAAACAGGGGACCAAAAACAGAGAACUGCAGCCAAGAAAAGGUUAUCCGCUAUAGGAGGCUCCGAGAUAUAUUGCCUUAUAAAUACUAACUUUUCACCAAAAAUCAGUAUAAGUAGGCUCUACCCGGUCUAACCAAGCAAGGUAUGCAUCUGAAACGCUUGGCUAGGUUCGAAGACUUCUCCCUGUUGAAGCUGAUGGAUACCAGGAAUGAAGAUGAAUGGAUUUGGCUAUCAGCGGAAAGCAAUCACUCGAGUAUGAAAAAUCAUCGGGGUUCAGUUCGUCAGUAAAAGAGGAAAACCUAAGAUGAACCGAGAAGGGUCCGAUAGAACAAACUGCCUAAAUAUGAUAUAAUCUAAUGACGGAGAAGAAGAAAGAGGCGGAAGCGGUGCCAUUGUUAAUACGAACAAAAAUAAAAAUCGAAAAGGGGAAGGGAGUGAAGAAGACGAAGAAGUAGAGAAGACUAAGACUCAGAGCGGAGAGAAGAAAAGCAGAGAAGACGAGGAAAAGCAAAGAAAAGAAACUUGGUGACGAAGAAAAAAAAAAAGCCGUCGCGUCAAAUCGAUUUCUGAGGACGGCCAUAAUUGUGAAAAAACAGCGGCAAUUAAUAUGAACUAAUUAAUGUCGCAUGCAAGACAAAAGAAAAUACCGAGAUCGUGGCCAUAGAAAAGAAAAGAACGGAUAAGAGGAAAAAUCGUACAGAAAAUACGAAUUGACUAUGUCGAAAUGCGCGCCUCUGAUUAUUGCAGCUACCGAAUCAAAUAUUCGGAAGCUACCGAGGGGGCAAUUGUUGGACGAAUGACACGCGGCCACGUAAUAUGCCGGUGCACCAUUCAACCCCAAUCUUUAAGAGUAAAAAUUAAAAAAGAUUUUGGUGUACACCGGGAGCAUCGACAAUAAUACUAAUUAAGUAACCGUCAGGUGUAAUAUGACCGAUUUCUUCUGUAUUACUUUUUUUUAUAUUAAAAAUUCAAAAGACAUUGCAAAUCAUGUAAAUUAUUAUAGACUCAUUUUGCAGGGCUUAGUUAAUAAUUUUUUAUUUACUUGGUUAGUAAUAGCUUCUAAUCUAAGGCCAGGCUACUAUACUAUUAUGAGUAUUGGAACCCUCGUACUCAUAAUUUGUUUACGAGGGUGGAGCUUCCGAAUCGACGAUCCACUCCGUAAAAUAAGAUUUAGAAUAUUUAAAACUUCUAGAAAAUAAAUUUCGUAAAUUUUCAAAAUCAUAAUAAAGUCCAUCAAGUGGGCAUAAAAUGAACGGUCAAAAUCGAACGACGUCCUAAAAAAGGAUGAUCGGAUCCUUCAAUUCAAGAUCGGAAUUAUUGAUCUUUAUAUAUGUAGUGAAUAGAAUUUUCUAUCAAAAAUUCAACAAAUUUUAAUUCUUUUACACCGUUAAACUAGCAAGUAUUCCAUACCGGCCGUUAAAAAUUGUCAAAUUUGUGACCUCUUGAUCGUAAGGUAAAUGAUGUCGAAAAAUUAUAAAAUUUGAUUUCUAGAAAUUUUAAAUACUGUAAAUAACGUUUAACGGUGUGGAUCGUCAAUUCGGAAGCUCUAUCAUCGAAAAUAACUUAUGAGUACGAGGGCGAUCGUACUCAUAAUAGUAUAAUAGCUGGACCCCUAAUCUAAUCCAUAUUUAAACAAACAUAAAGUUGUACAUUUUAUACCCAUUACAUCUAAUAGCAAUCAUUGAUCAUAAAUGUGAGUACUUAUGAAAUCAAUUAUAGUUAUUGUCACGUUCUAUUUCUCUUCUUUUCUUUAUUUUUUUGUUUUAAUCAUCCUCUUACGCCGGCAUUAGCCGUUCAAUAUUAUUUGGUGGGCAAUCAAGUGGAGUGAAGUUAAUUUAGCAAUUAAUUUUUCUUUAUUAACUAGUUAAUUCCAUUCUAUUUUAAUAAGAUAAAAGGAUACAAAACUUAUCUAAAUUAUAAACUAUUUUAAAUCAAUACCUAGUCUUUUAAAAUUUUAAUUUUGCUAUCCGAUCUCUCAAUUUGUUUGAUUUAAGUUGGUCAACAGCAAAUUAACUUUGAAAUUUAAGCUGAUUACUUUAAUAAAUUUAUAGUUGUGAAAAUUAUAUAAAAUAUACGAACUAAACAUAUAAAGAUAAACAUUCAAAUUUUAAAAUCAAAGUGUUAUAUAUUCCAGACUCAUAUCUGUACUUACACCUAAACCAAAUGAAGUCGAACACCUAUAUAUAUAUAUAUAUAUAUAUAUAUAUAUCUAUAAAAUUAUAUGAAAUAGUCAUUGUUGGGCCAAUAACGCGCGGCCACGUGGUAUGCUGAUGCACCAUUCAACCCCAAUCUUUACGAGCAAAGAUUAAAAAAGAUUUUGGUGUACACCGGGAGUAUCGACAAUAAUACUAAGUAACCGUCAGGUGUAAUUGAAAGAAGUUACAGCAACUGCAAAUGGUUACGAGCGGUUAUGAUCGGCUUAAGGUGGCCCGAAAAAAUAAGAAUAGUGGCCGAUCAUGAAUGGGACAAUAACGGAUUAAUAGGGGCGACCUAUAAAUAAACAAAUAACGUCCAAAAGAGGAGUCUUUUUCUUGAGAAUAGAAGAUCACCUUUACUUCCUCUGCAUUUUCCUUACAUUUUCUAAGAGUGGUCUACUUAUAAUUUUUACUUUCCCGCAUCUACUAUUUUUCCUAGGAGUAGUUGCAGUUUAGAUCAACCGAAUCUAUAUGCCCUCAGGCACACUCAUCCCUUGUACUAGUUUCUCAGGUUAAUUUCAAUAUAUAAAGGCAUUCAGCUCUUCAAUCAACCCAAAAUACAGUGCAUUCCGUAUAUUCGGCUCAUCUAGCCGAACCGAAUUUAUAGUAAAAGAUUCUAAACUCGGCUGAUCUGAUCCCUCAUCAGCCGAAUCAUUUGAUCCAAUCGAAGGGCACAAACUUUGAGGGUCACUAAUCAUAGCCGUUCCGUUUCCCUACACUCUUUCAAAAGGAGAUCUUUGACCGGGUCAAAGACUAGAAAAUUCAGCUUUUAACAAUUUUUGGCACGCCCGAUGAGACAGUUUAGGUAAGUUUAAGAAAAAAAAUAGUGUAACAAAGAAAGAAAUAGUGCAACAAGAGUUGAAACAGUGCAAUAAGAGGAGAAACAGUAUAAAUAUCUCUUAAAGGUAUGAAUUUUACAUCUCAAUAGGUGCAAGAAGAAAAAAAUAGUGUAAAUAUCUCUCAAAUAGUGCACUGUUUCAACUCUUGUUGUAAUUUUUAUUUUAAAGCUGCAGUUUACAUCUUAAGUAGUGCAACUUAUAUCCAUAAUAAUGCAACGCUCUUUUAAAACAAUGCAAUUUUAUUUUAACGGUGCAAUUUCAUCUUAAUCUUUUUUUAUAAUUUUUUAUCUUUAUUUUUUUCUUACUUAUUCUAUAAUUUUUUUUCUCACCCCUCUCUACCUACGGACAUGGUGCAGGCGACGACGCGGCUAAGGACCCCCCAGCUCCGAGGCUGCAGCUCCACAGCAACCUUUACGAUAUCGGCGUCGGCGAAGAUGCGUCAUCAUCAGAGACGGCAGAGGAGAAAGAAAAUGGAGAGGACGAGAAGGGCGGCGUCGGCGAAGAUGCGUCGUAGUCGGAGACGGUGGAGGAGUCGGAGAGGAAAAAAAAAAAAAGACUCGCGGCGCGACCUCGGCGGGGUCGAAGGCGAGGAAGGUUGGGGGCCUAGUUAGUUAAUUAGCGAUUAAUAUGCGAAUUAUAUGCGAAUUUUUGAAGAUACGAAUUAAACGCCUCUUUCCGUAUUUAUUCGAAAAGUUUGAAAAAAAACGUGAUUUCUUCGACAAAAAUAAUUGUUCGCGAAUUAUUCGCGAUUCACGAAUGAUUCGACUAAAAAAACGGCGCUCGCGGUCACGGAUUCGCAACCGAGGGUCGCGGAUUUGCGGCCGAGGGUCGCGUCGUCAUCGCUCUCGUCGCCGAACUCGUCCGGGUCGUCCUCCUCCUCCGCUGCCGUAGCCGGCACCGGGAGCAAGAGUCGCCGCGGCGGCGGAUGCCUUCUCGCGCUGUCCGCGGAAAAAUGUGGAAGAGAAACAGUAAAAAAAAUCGGGGCUUUUGAGCAGACUUUUGUGCGCGGUCCACGAGGCCACUUUGUGGCCUCGUGGACCGCAUGAGAGGGAGGUCCACGGUGGACCUUCCCUCUUAUUACUCCUCUUAUUAGUCAAUAUAUAUAUAUUAUAUAUAUUAUAUAUAUAUAUAUAUAUAUAUACUAUAUAUAUAUAUAUAUAUAUAUAUAUUCAUUUAUUGUAUAUAAUAUAUAUAUAUAAUUUUUAUAUAUUAUUAAUAUAUAUUUAUUAUAAUUUUGAAUAUAUUUAAUCUAUAUAUAUAAAUUAUAAGGCCAAUUUGCAUAAAAAAUCCACUUAUUUUGGGCUUUUGCAAAACCGGGCCACCUUUUUCGUUUUUGCAGAUUCGGUCCGCUUUUUUCGUCGCCUGACCAAAAUGCCCCUCCUAUACAAUAGCCUCCCGCACGUAUUUCUUGACAUACGUAUACUACCCUACUAUCUUGCCGUACGGUCUGGCGCGCAUUAAAUAACCCGCUUAUUUCUCGGAACCCGGACCACAUCCGCCCCCGCUAUUCGCCGGCCCCGCUGUUUCCUGUUCGGCUUAAAACUUUACGAAAUUUUCGAACGCUAUUGACAAAUAGCGCGCGCCCCGCAACAGGGAUAAUAGUGUAACGCGAAGAGCUACGAAAUGAGAAAUGGUGCAAACGACCUCUAUAACAGUGCAUCCUACCCUCGUUCCAGUGCAACCAAACCAUAAUCAAUCAAAAUUUUACUUUCUCCAUUUCUUAAUAUAAUCUGAACUUAAAAGUGCAAAUGAACGGCGUCCCCUCCAAAUGCAGGCGAGGAAGUUCUGCGGCGGGGCUGGAUGGUCGGCGAUGUGCGACAAAAGAGUCGGCAGGCGAGGAAGAUCUGCGGCGGGGCUGGACGCUCAACGGCGGGGUUCGGAGUCCGAGAGGCGCGACAUAACGGCUAAACGAUUGUGUAAAGUUUUCCUAUAAAAGAUCACGCGUCCUUUUAACUGUUAAAUAAGUUCACAGUUAAGCGCGAAUAAUAGUGCAAGGCAGUGUUAAUUACAGAAUAAUAUUUUUCAAAAGAGUGCAAAGAAGCUUGUAAGAGUGCAAUACGGGAAAAUAACAGUGUAAUGGAUUUUAUCUACGAGUACAACGAAACAUGUAAGAGUGCAAUACGGUUAUAAUACCAGUGCAAUUUUUCGGAACAGACUCGUACUAAGCUUUUAAGAGUGCAAUACGGUAGUAUUCCUCAGCGUAUUCCUCAACCGAUGUAUACCAUGCCGUACUGUCUGGCGCUCAUUAAAUGCGCCGCGUCCGCUGUACGCAACCCAACCUCCCUCGAUCAUUACUCGGAACUCGGACCACAUCCGCCCCCGCUAUUCGCCGGCCCCGCUGUUUCCUGUUCGCAAGCUAUUGACAAAUAGUGCGCGCCCCGAUAAUAGUGUAACGCGAAGAGCUACGAAAGGAGAAAUGGUGCAACAGACGUCUAUAACAGUGCAUCCGUAGCUUCGUUCCAGUGCAACCAAACAAUGACAGUCAAAAUUGACUUAUUUUAUUUCAUAAUGUAAUCUUAAGCUAAUAGUGCAAAUGAAAGGACAUGGGGGCCGUCGAUAAUAUACGGGAGGAGUGGGAGGAGGCUCUACGACCUAUUUUAAAGUGAUGUUACAGUAAUACGGCUCUUGAGGUGAGCAUUAGCCACUUUCUGUUCACGACAAAAACUAAUAUUUCGCGAGCAUUAAUAGUCGGUUACCUAAAUGGUUACGCAACGUAGGGUAAAGGAGUACCUCGACUCGAUUCCUCAAAUGCCUGUUCGUUUUCUAUAAAAGCACUCUCCAGGGACUUGGGCAACUGGCGACGAGGAAACGGCGAUAAUGGAGGAUCACGAGACGAGAGGAGAGACCCGCAGGAGACGUCGACGAAGAAGAGGCUCGGUCGUAAGUGUAUCAUCCAGUAAGGAGGCGUGAUUCGCACUAUCUGAAGUGCUGUGCUUUAUUUGCGACGAGGUACCACCCUAUACCAGGUUCUUAAAUUCUUCCAGAUCUUUAUUCUUNCGACAUAACGGCUAAACGAUUGUGUAAAGUUUUCCUAUAAAAGAUCACGCGUCCUUUUAACUGUUAAAUAAGUUCACAGUUAAGCGCGAAUAAUAGUUCAAGGCAGUGUUAAUUACAGAACAAUAUUUUUCAAAAGAGUGCAAAGAAGCUUGUAAGAGUGCAAUACGGGGAAAUAACAGUGUAAUGGAUUUUAUCUACGAGUGCAACGAAACAUGUAAGAGUGCAAUACGGUAGUAAUACCAGUGCAAUUUUUUGGAACGGACUCGUACUAAGCUUUUAAGAGUGCAAUACGGUAGUAUUCCUCAGCGUAUUCCUCAACGGAUGUAUACCAUGCCGUACUGUCUGGUGCUCAUUAAAUGCGCCGCGUCCGCUGUACGCAACCCAACCUCCCUCGAUCAUUACUCGGAACUUGAACCACAUCUGCCCCCGCUAUUCGCCGGCCCUGCUGUUUCCUUUUCGAAAGCUAUUGACAAAUAGUGCGCGCCCCGAUAAUAGUGCAACGCGAAGAGCUACGAAAGGAAAAAUGGUGCAACAGACGUCAAUAACAGUGCAACCGCAUUUGUAACAGUCCAAAGUUUACUUAUUUUAUUUUUAAUUUAAUCUUAAGGUAAUAGUGCAAAUGAAAGGACAUGGUUACGUCGAAUAUAGCGGUGUGAAGUAGGAGGAGGCUCCACCACCUCUUUAUUGCCGCCGCCGCCGCGGCGCUAUACCUCCGCGCGCCAGGGUUAAUAGUGCAAGGCGAAGGCUCUGCGGCAGGAGAAACGGUGGAACAAACCUUCUAACAUGCAACCGUAGCGUCGUUCCAGUGCAAGGAGACUGCUAGGAUGAGGAGGAGGGUCGAUCGAAAGGUUACGAUCCAGCAACGAGGCGAUCAGAAAGAACGAUCCAGCAACGAGGCGUUAGGGUUGAUUCGCACUAUCUGGAAUGUUUCAUUUGUUUUGGGCAAUUUGGAGCUCCGCUCUACCAUGAAAAAGACAGUACAGACAGAAAAAUAUAGAACUAAUUUCAUAAGGGUGUAACUAUGUCACAAUAAUAGUGCAACGUAGGGUAAAAAAGUAGAACUAAUUUCAUAAGGGUGCAACUAUGUCACAAUAAUAGUGCAAUGGAUUCAUGGAAUAGCAAACACACGGUCUGGCGAAUAGCGUGGAUAUACGCUCCCAGCGCAGCGCACAUUUAAUGCUUCUAAAAGUACGUAGCGUAACGUCUACAUUAUAGCGUCUCUUCUAUGAGGAUAGGAGACACCGGUGGUUAUAUCGAAGCUGCCUCGGAAAAAGUAUAAGCGACUAUUUCGAAUGUUACUCGUAAAGGCGUUGCACUGUUAUGACGAAUGUUACUCUAAUAUUGCGCCAGUAUUGCACUUUUUUUGCAUUUUGUUACUUGGCGUUGCACUAUUAUUACAGCCUAUUGUUGCACUAUUUUUAUACGAUUGAAUGAUUUAUUGAUAUUUUAAAGUGAUGUUACAGUAAUACGGCUCUUCAGGUGAGCAUUAGCCACUUUCUGUUCACGACGAAAACUAAUAUUUCGCGAGCAUUAAUAGUCGGUUACCUAAAUGGUUACGCAACGUAGGGUAAAGGAGUACCUCGACUCUAUUCCUCAAAUGCCUGUUCGUUUUCUAUAAAAGCACUCUCCAGGCACUUGGGCAACCGGCGACGAGGAAACAGCGAUGAUGGAGGUACACGAGACGAGAGGAGAGACCCGCAGGAGACGUCGACGAAGAAGAGGCUCGGUCGUAAGUGUAUCAUCCAGUAAGGAGGCGUUAAGAUUGAUUCGCACUAUCUGAAGUACUGUGCUUUAUUUGCGACGAGGUACCACCCUAUACCAGGUUCUUAAAUUCUUCCAGAUCUUUAUUCUUAUCGAUAGAUUCUAAAUUUAUCCUGACUAUACUGUCUCUUUACGAACAAUGUAGUGCCAAAACGUCAAUGCGAAAGUGCCUAGUGCAAAUAAAGCUCCGACAUACCCCUCCGAGCGAGCCCUCUCCUCUUUGCCAUUUCAUCUUCCGAUAGAGGAACCUCAGAGUAUGUUAUGUGCUCGUGGAUUUGCGGCAAGCUUUGAUGAUGAUUCAGUACUUUUGUAAAAUGAAGGCCUAAUUUUGUUCAUUAAUAAUGUUGAUGCGAAAGUUACAGUUGAUGUUGUGAACAUCGUAUUGUAUGCAAAACGUGUAUUAUAUGUUGCGUUUUCGUCAAAGACAAUGUAUAAUUUGCUUGUAUAUUAAUAAAGAGAUCCCUUUCUUUACAUUGUUACGCCUUAUAGUAAAUAUAUCUGUAUAAUUCAUUAUAUUCAUGCACCGCUUUUAGCUGUAUUACACUAUUAGCGCAGAUUUUACACUAUUAUUUCCGACGAUGUUGCACUUUUACAUUCAUAUUAUAAACAAAUUCAGAGAAAGUCUUACACUGUUUUUUGGCCACUUGCAGUACUUAGGAAACAAUGUUACAAAUAAUUUUAAAAAAGUUCUUGCACCAAGGAAUUUUCUUGUAGUCGUUAGACAGUUGUUGCACUAUUUAGGCAAUUUAUUACACUAAUUGGUGAAAGACCACACGAUUAAUUUUACAACGUUAAACGCGAUUAAUAGUGCGACGCGCUGUAAAAGAGCUCAAAUAGGCCCGUAAUGGUGUAAUAUUAUCGUAGUAAUCGAUCAAUGGUUUGAAAGUAAUGGUGCAACGAGUCAACAAUUUUUAGGACUGGCUUAUGAUGGUCCAUAUAUUUUAUAAUACACCUUCAAUAGUAUGUUGAGAAUGGUGCAAUAAGAAGUUUAAUCAGGGAUUAUAUCCGGGAUGAAUUCUCCCGAAGAAAGUUCGAUGUGUCGCCAGUGUCUCUUCCCCUCUCUUACCGGCCAGUGCCUCUUCACUACUUACUCGAGUAUAACGAUCACGUCAAUGUACUAUUCUGUCGCUACAUUUAAUGCCACUAUCUUUCACAUUCUCGCUGUUGGCUGAUUGUUGUGCUAAUGUGUCAGGUUUUGUAUGGACUCUUACGCUGUUUCGUGAGAAGGUUGGCCCAUAUUAGCAUCCCACUAACUUUCAAACUCCUGUUGCUCCCCAUUACCCUAUUCUAAUCUUUUAAGGCCUCUAAACCGCCUUACGUCGGUCAUUGCCCUAACAGCCGCAUUUCUAUUUAUAACCACCACCGUCCACUUCGAAUCCCAUCGGCGAAUACACGACCUUUCUAAAUCUACAUUCCUUGCAAUGGCGUCGAAGUCGUCGCAAUCUACUGAUUCAUCGUCUGCCGACGGCCGUAAGGUGCCUUCGCGGCCGGUUGCCGGCGGCCCCGCCGGUAGAUUCAUUGUGAAUUCUCGAUGUUUCGUCGGAGCGUACAAGAAGACUUACGCGUCGAUUGUGAAGCUGCAUCAUCUUCCCGUCAUCCAGAGUACGAUAUUUAGUAAUAUCUUACACUUCCCCGACAUCACCUCAGAUAGGCUAUUGCUGGAGUUCAUCCUCCGUCAUUGGAAUGAGGGUGUAGAAUUCGAAAUAGGCCCUCAAGUCAUACGCUUCACGGCCAAUAAGGUGGCAGUUCUUCUUGGAUUACCCCUGUCGGUCCAAGCUCUAGACCUAAGCCUCAAUUGGGGGUCGGAUAUUCAAAAUCGUUUCCUUGAGAGGAAGAAGGUCGACCGCAAGAACCUGGAGGUGGUUUUGAAAGAGAUGUCACCCAAGAAGGACGAAGAGGACAUUACCGACUUCGUGAAAUUACUUAUUCUCUACUUUUUUUGUUGUAUUCUUUUCACCAAUACCAACAAUCUGUCCCAAAGGACUGGUGGGUCUUGUCGAUGAUCUCCCCGCUCUGGCACGCUACAAUUGGCCGGAAGCAGUACACCGGCUUAUAAUCGACAGCCUAUGCUCCGCCGCCGUUAAAUUGCAAGCUAAUUCGAAGCGGGAAGGAUACGUUUUUGGAUGCACUCCGCUUCUCCCAGUAAGUCUCUAUUGUUCAAGUAAUCGUGCAAAUCCAAUUUCUAAAAUAGUGCAAAUUAAGCUAUUAUAUACUUAAUCAUGUAACUGUGUGAACUCUAGUGUAAUAUCUUUCUGAUAUUAGUGUAAUAAUAUCUUUGCUAUCAGGUGUGGAUAUAUGAGCACACUGGGUACAGAUGCCCUCUGCUUUCCCGCCGCGCAAUAUUGCCUCGUAUCCAGAGAUGGGAUACGAUUAGAUGGACUCGUCGUUCGCGGGGAUCGUCGAGAGUGAAGGAGGAUUUUAACUUCACUACGUGCCGCCGCAGGCUCGAACUCUCCCCGGAGGAACUACGGCUGGUGGGUGUCGAGGCUCAAGUUUCGAGGCGCCACCGCCGCCCCAGGAAUGAGGAACCUCCGGGCGGUUAUAAAGAGGUGAUGGCGGCAAUUAGCCGUCUGGAGGCCGUGGUGUUCAGUCUUGCCACUUCCGUUGCCGGCAUACUCAGCAAUCUGGCACUCCUACCAGCACCAAAAUCGACCCCGGUACCUACUAGAAUUAUCAAAAGCAAGAAGAGGAGGCACGAUGGGGUGCAAGUACCAACACCCCCACCGUCAAAAUCAUCUACGUGAUCGACACAGGGAGUUAAAAAAAGAAGGAUAGGAUCCGUAUUGGCGAUGCCCGCACCGAUCUCGGCCAUUAAGGAGAAUCCCGAAAUCGGAAAAGAACGGUCGAGAGCUUCUUCGAAAUCUAGAAAGGAUGGGGCACGCCAAAAACUAUCGAGUCCGCCAAAGGCUCCCAAGGAGUGUCUUAAAAAUCGCACGCCGGUGAGGGCCAAACAAUUUCGAAGCCCAUACGAUCUCCGACCUCGCUUGGAACGAAAAAAGAAAGCUGACGAAACAAUCGCCGAUGACACAAUCGCCGACGUAUGUGACGCCCUUAUUAUUUUACAUUCUCAACAAACGAUUGAUUCGUAAAUUUCAUCUCAAUAAUAAUGUAACGGUAUCAGACUUCGAUUAAUAAACUCUUGUUUUGGUUCUGUAUUUGUGUAAAUUUCUUUGUAAUAGUGCAUCAUAUACUUGUGUAGUGUAACAUAUAAUCGCUUUUUUUGUAUGCAGGCUUCGCAGCCGAGACGGAGUGAAAAAUAUGACCAUCCAAAAGCUGGUCUUUUCGCAGGAGACUCCUUUAUAAAAAGCGAUGAAGUAAGUAAUAGUGUAAACGGAGUAAGUAAUAGUGUAAACGGGAAUUAAAUAGUAUAAUAUCUAAAUAAUUAGUGUAAUUGACGCCAAUUUUAAAUUUUUUUAAAUUUAGCUGCAUAACAUCGUCAUCCAAAUAUGUGAAGACGUGCCCCCGUUAUCUUCACUACCAGAGGUGCCGGCGGCGGGGGCUCCGGUGGCGGCGACGGUAACACACGUUCCGCCGAAAGAGGAGCCGGCGGCAACCGAGGCGGCGGAACCGGACACAGCGGGGGUAACUUUCGUGGCGACGGUGGAUGAAAAUGAAGCGGCGGGAGCGGCAGAUGAGGAGGAAAAUAUGGCGGUAGAGGCGAAAGUGGAGGCUGUGGCGAAGGAAAAGGUGGAGACUGCUGCAGCGCCGGCGGAGGACGAGGAAAAGGAGGAGGCGAAGACGACGGAGGAGGCUGCGAAGGAGGUGGCCGCGAAGGAAAAGGUGUGGGCGGCGGCAGCUGCGGCGGAGGAGGUGGACAAGGAGAUUGCGGUUGCGACUACGGCAGCGGAGGAAAAGGACUUCGAAUUAGUGUCGGGGGUUGCUUCGGAGUUAUCGUCGAUACACAGUAAGACGACUCGGGCAUCUAAACGUGUAAGUUGAUAUUACAUCGAUACUCUUGAAAUAAUGCAAAAUAUUGCUAUUCCUGUAAUAUAACCUUGAUUGUUGCACUACUUUAAAUUUUUUGUACAGGACAUUAAAAAAAUGGACAAGCCUCGCCCGAAGAGACGCUUGGUGCGUCUCUCGACGACGACAAAGGCACCUACACAAAUUGCGAAGUCUUCCAUGCAAGAACCCAGCAUUAUAGAGGUGCGUGAAUAUUGCAACAUUACAUUUCAUUAAUGCGAUACAGCUUAUAAUAGUGUAAGAAUGUCCUGCAAUGGUGUAAUUACGAUCUGAUUCUUUCAUUUUUUGCUAAAUAGCAUCCAAUAAUCAUCGACAUCCCCCCCUCCUCGGAUGAAACAUCAAAAUUUAUAAAGGGCAAAAUACUCAAAUUGAAUGUCGCAAAAUCAUCACCGACACUGGAUUUAAAGUAUUACGGCAAGGGUGAGUUGCCGAAGGAGGAUCAGGAGCGAAUUGAAAAAUUCCUGACAAACACCACCCCCUCCGCAUUAGUACUGCCUUCGAAAGAUAUUGACAUCGGGAGGAAGGACUUGGUUGAUCUAACAAGUCAUAUGGCCUUCGUCAGCUCCGAUGUUAUUGACGGCUACCAGCAUUUACUCCAGGAGGCGGAAGGCCACAGGUGCAUAUACUCCACGACAUUACUUUAUCAUACCCUAGGGACUGCAAUGAGCCCCAAGAUAUUUUUGGACGACAUCACCGAGGAGAGGAUCAGUGAGGCGAAGUACUGGUUCAUCCCGCUCUUCGACUUCCAACACUGGCAUUUGCUGACUGUUGAUCUCCAAGACGGGAAGUACCUCCACUUAUCGUCCAUUAAAAAUCCUAAAUACAACGUGAGGUUUGAAAAAGCAGUAAGUGUUUCCUAAUACUUUAAAAUUGUACCAGCAUUAUCCCAUUAUAUUUCUAAUUAGUGCAAUGAUUUCUAUGCAGUGUAAGUUCAUAGGAAAUUAUUUGCAACAAAAAUUUUUCAAUUUGUUUGGGGACCGCGGUACCCGUCCCGUCGACUGGGAGAAGAUCAAUAUGGAAGACAUCGCGAUUCAAGAUCAGUCCAAUGACUGCGUAAUCUUCCUUUUAGCAUACGAGGAAUACUUACAGAAGGGGUGGAACUUGGACUUCUCCCAGAAUGAUAUGACCAUGAGACACGACGAGAUAGCAGCAGAAUUCUUGCGUCUUUUUUACUCGUAAUAAUUCGAGGCUGAUUCAAGUUACAGUUCUUUCAUUUGUACUGUCAUUUUUUUCAUACUAAGAUGAAUUGGUGUACAUAAUGUAAUUCUCAUUACCUUUGUUAUAAAGAAAUUAAUAGAAUUUUACUUGUAAUAUUCCUCGUUACACUAUUUUCAAGAAUGUUGAACUAUUAUCCCUCCUUGCUUCAAGGUGUUUGCACUGGAGCGAGUCUAGUGAUGCACGCUUAGAAGGGCUGUUACAUCAUUUAACCUGGCUUUGCUUUUUCUUGUUGCACUAUUAUCUCAGUCAUGUUUUAGGUUCUCAUAUUUAAAAUUAUUAAAGUCGAACAGCAAACAGCUGGGGUAGCGAAUAGCGGAACGGAUGUUGUCCGAGUACCGAAAAAGAGCCAUGUUGCGUGAAGCGCAUGGGCCGCAUUUAAUGCCCCGAAGGGUUUGUCUAGGGUGUUUACAAUCUGUGUAACAGUGCAAUGUAAUGUAUAUAAUGGUGCAUUUUAUUUUACAAGUGGUGUAAAAAAAUUCAUCUUGUAUUAUAACAGUGUAAUGUAAUAGAGAUAAUAGUGCAAUUCUUGUUGAAAAUGGUGAUUAGUUUACAGCUGUUACACUAUUUUAUUUCCAUUCCCAAACAGCGAAACUUGCUCACCUUCCCGAGGCGAAAUUUCCUUACAAUCCUGUAAUUAUAUGAGGCCCAUGUGCUAUACGCAACAGCGCCGUUUUAUGACAGAGUAUGAAAUGUAAGCCAUUAAAAAGCCAUUAAUGCAGCAAGCGCGGGAAAGGCGGGUUUAGAGCGUAGAUAUUCUAUUCGCCAAAGCCAGUGUUUGCUGUUAGAUUUUUUAUUUUUUUAUUUAUAUUAUUUGGAAGUGCAGCCGCAUUUGUCUCAAGGACUGAAGGGAAUAAAAUCUAAAAUCUAUUGAUUCCGCUGUGUCAAGUACUAUNNNNNNNNNNNNNNNNNNNNNNNNNNNNNNNNNNNNNNNNNNNNNNNNNNNNNNNNNNNNNNNNNNNNNNNNNNNNNNNNNNNNNNNNNNNNNNNNNNNNNNNNNNNNNNNNNNNNNNNNNNNNNNNNNNNNNNNNNNNNNNNNNNNNNNNNNNNNNNNNNNNNNNNNNNNNNNNNNNNNNNNNNNNNNNNNNNNNNNNNNNNNNNNNNNNNNNNNNNNNNNNNNNNNNNNNNNNNNNNNNNNNNNNNNNNNNNNNNNNNNNNNNNNNNNNNNNNNNNNNNNNNNNNNNNNNNNNNNNNNNNNNNNNNNNNNNNNNNNNNNNNNNNNNNNNNNNNNNNNNNNNNNNNNNNNNNNNNNNNNNNNNNNNNNNNNNNNNNNNNNNNNNNNNNNNNNNNNNNNNNNNNNNNNNNNNNNNNNNNNNNNNNNNNNNNNNNNNNNNNNNNNNNNNNNNNNNNNNNNNNNNNNNNNNNNNNNNNNNNNNNNNNNNNNNNNNNNNNNNNNNNNNNNNNNNNNNNNNNNNNNNNNNNNNNNNNNNNNNNNNNNNNNNNNNNNNNNNNNNNNNNNNNNNNNNNNNNNNNNNNNNNNNNNNNNNNNNNNNNNNNNNNNNNNNNNNNNNNNNNNNNNNNNNNNNNNNNNNNNNNNNNNNNNNNNNNNNNNNNNNNNNNNNNNNNNNNNNNNNNNNNNNNNNNNNNNNNNNNNNNNNNNNNNNNNNNNNNNNNNNNNNNNNNNNNNNNNNNNNNNNNNNNNNNNNNNNNNNNNNNNNNNNNNNNNNNNNNNNNNNNNNNNNNNNNNNNNNNNNNNNNNNNNNNNNNNNNNNNNNNNNNNNNNNNNNNNNNNNNNNNNNNNNNNNNNNNNNNNNNNNNNNNNNNNNNNNNNNNNNNNNNNNNNNNNNNNNNNNNNNNNNNNNNNNNNNNNNNNNNNNNNNNNNNNNNNNNNNNNNNNNNNNNNNNNNNNNNNNNNNNNNNNNNNNNNNNNNNNNNNNNNNNNNNNNNNNNNNNNNNNNNNNNNNNNNNNNNNNNNNNNNNNNNNNNNNNNNNNNNNNNNNNNNNNNNNNNNNNNNNNNNNNNNNNNNNNNNNNNNNNNNNNNNNNNNNNNNNNNNNNNNNNNNNNNNNNNNNNNNNNNNNNNNNNNNNNNNNNNNNNNNNNNNNNNNNNNNNNNNNNNNNNNNNNNNNNNNNNNNNNNNNNNNNNNNNNNNNNNNNNNNNNNNNNNNNNNNNNNNNNNNNNNNNNNNNNNNNNNNNNNNNNNNNNNNNNNNNNNNNNNNNNNNNNNNNNNNNNNNNNNNNNNNNNNNNNNNNNNNNNNNNNNNNNNNNNNNNNNNNNNNNNNNNNNNNNNNNNNNNNNNNNNNNNNNNNNNNNNNNNNNNNNNNNNNNNNNNNNNNNNNNNNNNNNNNNNNNNNNNNNNNNNNNNNNNNNNNNNNNNNNNNNNNNNNNNNNNNNNNNNNNNNNNNNNNNNNNNNNNNNNNNNNNNNNNNNNNNNNNNNNNNNNNNNNNNNNNNNNNNNNNNNNNNNNNNNNNNNNNNNNNNNNNNNNNNNNNNNNNNNNNNNNNNNNNNNNNNNNNNNNNNNNNNNNNNNNNNNNNNNNNNNNNNNNNNNNNNNNNNNNNNNNNNNNNNNNNNNNNNNNNNNNNNNNNNNNNNNNNNNNNNNNNNNNNNNNNNNNNNNNNNNNNNNNNNNNNNNNNNNNNNNNNNNNNNNNNNNNNNNNNNNNNNNNNNNNNNNNNNNNNNNNNNNNNNNNNNNNNNNNNNNNNNNNNNNNNNNNNNNNNNNNNNNNNNNNNNNNNNNNNNNNNNNNNNNNNNNNNNNNNNNNNNNNNNNNNNNNNNNNNNNNNNNNNNNNNNNNNNNNNNNNNNNNNNNNNNNNNNNNNNNNNNNNNNNNNNNNNNNNNNNNNNNNNNNNNNNNNNNNNNNNNNNNNNNNNNNNNNNNNNNNNNNNNNNNNNNNNNNNNNNNNNNNNNNNNNNNNNNNNNNNNNNNNNNNNNNNNNNNNNNNNNNNNNNNNNNNNNNNNNNNNNNNNNNNNNNNNNNNNNNNNNNNNNNNNNNNNNNNNNNNNNNNNNNNNNNNNNNNNNNNNNNNNNNNNNNNNNNNNNNNNNNNNNNNNNNNNNNNNNNNNNNNNNNNNNNNNNNNNNNNNNNNNNNNNNNNNNNNNNNNNNNNNNNNNNNNNNNNNNNNNNNNNNNNNNNNNNNNNNNNNNNNNNNNNNNNNNNNNNNNNNNNNNNNNNNNNNNNNNNNNNNNNNNNNNNNNNNNNNNNNNNNNNNNNNNNNNNNNNNNNNNNNNNNNNNNNNNNNNNNNNNNNNNNNNNNNNNNNNNNNNNNNNNNNNNNNNNNNNNNNNNNNNNNNNNNNNNNNNNNNNNNNNNNNNNNNNNNNNNNNNNNNNNNNNNNNNNNNNNNNNNNNNNNNNNNNNNNNNNNNNNNNNNNNNNNNNNNNNNNNNNNNNNNNNNNNNNNNNNNNNNNNNNNNNNNNNNNNNNNNNNNNNNNNNNNNNNNNNNNNNNNNNNNNNNNNNNNNNGCGUAAGAUCGAUUCUAGACUGCUGGGGGUUGUACUUGCACCCCAUCGUGCUCCUUUCUUACUUUUGAUUAAUUGCCAAUGGUGCCGGGGGAUUUUUGUGCUUGGUAGAGUGCCGGAUUGGCUGAGUUAUGGCCGGCAACGGAAGUGGGCAAGACUGAACUACACGGCUACAGACGCUAUUGCCGCCAUCACCAUCUUUAUAACUGCCGAGGUUCCUCAUCUCCUGGGGCGGCGGUGGUGCCCGAACUUGAGCUCGCACACAGCCGUAUGUUCUCCAGGGAGAGUUCGAGCCUGCGAGGCACGUGCGAGUUAAAACCUCCUUCACUUCGACAUCGCCCCGAAAUGACUGAGCUCCAUUAAUUCGUAUCGCCAUCUCUGAGACACGAUGGCAUAUUGCACGACUGAAGAAGGCAUGAGAGGCAUUCUGUACCAGUGGCCUCAUAUAUCCCACCUGAUAGCAAAGAUAUAUAUUACACUAUAUUCAGAAAAAGAUAUUACACUAGAGUUACACACAGUUACAUGAUUUAAGUAUACAAUAGAUAUUCUAUAAUUUGCACUAUUUUAGAAAUUGGAUUUGCACGAUUACUUGAACAAUAGAGACUUACUGGGAGAAGCGGGGUGCAUCCAAGAACAUAUUCUACCCGCUUCGAAUUAGCUUACAAUUUAACGGCGGCGGAACAUAGGCUGUCGAUUAUAAAUCGGUGUACUGCUUCCGGCCAAUUGUAGCGUGCCAGAGCGGGAAGAUCAUCGACAAGACCCACCAGUCCUUUGGGACAUAGAUUAUUGGUAUUGGUGAAAAGAAUACAACAAAAAAAGUAGAGAAUAAGUAAUUUCACAAAAUCGGUAAUGUCAUUUUCGUCCUUCUUGGGUGACAUCACCUUCAAAACCACCUCCAGGUUCUUGCGGUCGACCUUCUUCCCCUCAAGGAAACGAUUUUGAAUAUCCGACCCCCAAUUGAGGCUUAGGUCUAGAGCUUGGCCGACAGGGGUAAUCUAAGAAAAACUGCCACCUCCUUGGCCGUGAAGCGUAUGACUUGAGGGCCUAUUUCGAAUUCUACACCCUCCUUCCAAUGACGGAGGAUGAACUCCAGCAAUGGCCUAUCUGAGAUGAUGUCGGGGAAGUAUAAGAUAUUACCAAAUAUCGUACUCUUGAUGACGGGAAGAUGAUGCGGCUUCACUACCGACGCGUAAGUCUUCCUGUACGCUUCGACGAAACACCGAGAAUUCACAAUGAAUCUACCGACGGGGCCGCCGGCAACCGGCCGCGAAGGCGCCUUACGGCCGUCGGCAGACGAUGAAUCAGUAGAUUGCGACGACUUCGACGCCAUUGCAAGCAAUGUAGAUUUAGAAAGGUCGUGUAUUCGCCGAUGGGAUUCGAAGUGGACGAUGGUGGUUACAAAUAGAAAUGUUGCUGUUAGGGCAAUGACCGACGUAAGGCGAUUUAGACGCCUUAAAAGAUUAGAAUAGGGUAAUGGGGAGCAACAGGAGUUUGAAAAUUAGUGGGAUGCUAGUAUGGGCCAACCUUCUCACGAAACAGCGUAAGAGUCCAUACAAAACCUGACACAUUAGCACAACAAUCAGCCAACAGCGAGAAUGUGAAAGAUAGUGGCAUUAAAUGUAGCGACAGAAUAGUACAUUGACGUGAUCGUUAUACUCGAGUACGUAGUGAAGAGACACUGGCCGGUAAGAGAGGGGAAGAGACACCGGCGACACAUCGAACUUUCUUCGGGAGAAUUCAUCCCAGAUAUAAUCCCUGAUUAAACUUCUUAUUGCACCAUUCUCAAUAUACUGUUGAAGGUGUAUUAUAAAAAAUAUGGACCAUCAUAAGCCAGUCCUAAAAAUUAUUGACUCGUUGCACCAUUACUUUCAAACCAUUGAUCGAUUACUACGAUAAUAUUACACCAUUACGGGCCUAUUUGAGCUCUUUUACAGCGCGUCGCACUAUUAAUCGCGUUUAACGUUGUAAAAUUAAUCGUGUGGUCUUUCACCAAUUAGUGUAAUAAAUUGCCUAAAUGGUGCAACAACUGUCUAACGAGUACAAGAAAAUUCUUUGGUGCAAGAACUUUUUUAAAAUUAUUUGUAACAUUGUUUCCUAAGUACUGCAAGUGGUCAAAAAAUAGUAUAAGUUUUUCUCUGAAUUUGUUUAUAAUAUGAAUGUAAAAGUGCAACAUCGUCGAAAAUAAUAGUGUAAAAUCUACGCUAAUAGUGUAAUACAGCUAAAAGCGGUGCAUGAAUAUAAUGAAUUAUACAGAUAUAUUUACUAUAAGGCGUAACAAUGUAAAGAAAGAGAUCCCUUUAUUAAUAUACAAGCAAAUUAUACAUUGUCACUACAACAAAAACGGUCUAUAGCGACACUUUUAAAUAUAGGUACAUGUCAAAAAAGUGCUGCUAGCUAAAAUUACCGACACUUUUAAAAAGUGUUGCUAUUGUGGGGUCGCUAGAUAUAUAGUGACAGUUAAAGAGUGUCGCGAUAACCUAAAAGAAUGCUGCUAAUUUACCAACACUUAUUUAAGCAUUUAGCAACCGCCGAAACUCUAUCUCGUUGGCUGCGGUGGCGAAGGAGAACAACAGGAAAGGCUCUUCGUCUAGAAUUUCAGUGGAUUGAGUGAAGAGAGAAGAAAAGAUAGUAAUUGAUUUUUUUUUUUUUUCUUUUCUGUUUGUAAUCGGGCCAAAUGGACUAGGUGUUGUGGGUUGAGUAGAGUAAUCUUUUAUUUUUAGUUGGAUUGAGCUUUAUAUAUAGGCAUUAGUAGAUAUUUUUUUAAGUUUUAGGAUAAAUAGGACACUUACUCAAAAGUGUCCCAAACAUGUGUCGCUAUAACCUAAUUCUGUUGUAGUGUGUCUUUGACGAAAACGCAACAUAUAAUACACGUUUUGCAUACAAUACGAUGUUCACAACAUCAACUGUAACUUUCGCAUCAACAUUAUUAAUGAACAAAAUUAGGCCUUCAUUUUACAAAAGUACCAAAUCAUCAUCAAAGCUUGCCGCCAAAUCCACGAGCACAUAACAUACUCUGAGGUUCUUCUAUCGGAAGAUGAAAUGACAGAGAGGAGAGGGCUCGCUCGGAGGGGUAUGUCGGAGCUUUAUUUGCACUAGGGACUUUGGCAUUGACGUUUUGGCACUACAUUGUUCGUAAAAAGACAGUAUAGCCAGAAAAAAUUUAGAAUCUAUCGAUAAGAAUAAAGAUCUGGAAGAAUUUAAGAACCUGGUAUAGGGUGGUACCUCGUCGCAAAUAAAGCACAGUACUUCAGAUAGUGUGAAUCAAUCUUAACGCCUCCUUACUGGAUGAUACACUUACGACCGAGCCUCUUCUUCGUCGACGUCUCCUGCGGGUCUCUCCUCUCGUCUCGUGAUCCUCCAUCAUCGCCGUUUCCUCGUCGUCGGUUGCCCAAGUCCCUGGAGAGUGCUUUUAUAGAAAACGAACAGACAUUUGAGGAAUCGAGUUGAGGUACUCCUUUACCCUACGUUGCGUAACCAUUUAGGUAACCGACUAUUAAUGCUCGCGAAAUAUUAGUUUUCGUCGUGAACAGAAAGUAGCUAAUGCUUACCUCAAGAGCCGUAUUACUGUAACAUCACUUUAAAAUAGGUCGUGGAGCCUCCUCCCACUCCUCCCGUAUAUUAUCGACGGCCCCCAUAUCCUUUCAUUUGGCCUAUUAGCUUAAGAUUACAUUAUGAAAUAAAAUAAGUCAAUUUUGAACUGGAACGAAGCUACGGAUGCACUGUUAUAGACGUCUGUUGCACCAUUUCUCCUUUCGUAACUCUUUACGUUGCACUAUUAUCGGGGCGCGCACUAUUUGUCAAUAGCUUUCGAAAAGGAAACAGCGGGGCCGACGAAUAGCGGGGGCGGAUGUGGUUCGAGUUCCGAGUAAUGAUCGAGGGAGGUUGGAUUGCGUACAGCGGACACGGCGCAUUUAAUGAGCGCCAGACAGUACGGCAUGGUAUACAUCGGUUGAGGAAUACGCUGAGGAAUACUACCGUAUUGCACUCUUAAAAGCUUAGUACGAGUCUAUUCCAAAAAAUUACACUGGUAUUACAACCGUAUUGCACUCUUACAUAUUUCGUUGCACUCGUAGAUAAAAUACAUUAUACUGUUAUUUUUUCGUAUUGCACUCUUACAAGCUUCUUUGCACUCUUUUAAAAAAUAUUAUUCUGUAAUUAACACUGUCUUGCACUAUUAUUCGCACUUAACUAUGAACUUAUUUAACAGUUAAAAGGACGCGUGAUCUUUUAUAGAAAAAUUUUACACAAUCGUUUAGCUGUUAUGUCGCGCCUCUCGGACUCCGAACCCCACCGUUGAGCGUCCAGUCGCGCCGCAGAUCUUCCUGGCUUGCCGACUCUUAUGUCGCACAUCACCGACCGUUCAGCCCCGCCGCAAAGCUUCCUCGCCUGCAUUUGUAGGGGACGUCGUUCAUUUGCACUUUUAAGUUCAGAUUAUAUUAAGAAAUGGAGAAAGUAAAAUUUUAACUGAUUAUGAUUUGGUUGCACUGGAACGAUGGUAGGAUGCACUGUUAUAGAGGUCGUUUGCACCAGUUCAGAUUAUAAAUUGAGGUAUAAGCGGGGAUUAGAUCAAUUUUGCGUUUCGAUGAAAAUUGGGUUAUUCUUGAAAAUAAGAAAAAUAGCGUUUGGUUAGGUAAGAUGGAAUAAAAAUUGAAGUGGGUAGUUAUAAAUAAAAAAUAAUAAUAUUAUUCUUUUUUUAUAUUAGAAUUAGAAUUUUUAUAUUUUAUAUUUAUAUUUUAAAAUUUAAAAUAUAAACUUUUAAAUUUUAAAAAUCAAAAUUAAAUUUUAAAUUUAAAAUCUCAAAUUUAUAAUUUUAAAAAAUUAAUUUAUCAUGAAUAUUAUUAGAUAAUCAUAAAUGUUAAUUAAUACAUUAAUUACCAGAUUAAUUAAUCAUUAAUCAAUUAACCAUGAGUACUGUUAAUUAAUAAAUUAUCUAACUAUAAAUAAUUUAAUAAGUUAACAAAUUAGGCUAAUAUAUUAAUAUAUUAGUAAAUUAAUAAUUAAUUAAUUAUUUGAUUAGUUAUGUUGGUAAAAAUAUUAAUUUAUUUAUCAAUAAAGAUAUUAGUUAUUGCAUAAACACACUAAUAAAUAAUUAUUAAUUUAGCUAAUAUUUUAUUAUUAAAUUAGUUAAUUUUUAAUUUAGCUAAUUAGUUAAUAAAAUAAUAUAUAUAAUAUAUUAAUUAAUAAUAUUUUAUUAUUAAACUAGUAGAGGAAUAAAAAAAAAAUUUUGUUAUUCCACCAAAAAGGUGGAAUAACAAAUUUUCCUCUUAACGAAUUAUUCUAAAAUAACCCGUUAAGAAGGAAAUUAAAUAAACUCACUCCCUCUUAUAGUGUUUGGAUGAAUUAGAGGGAUAAAAUGGUCUAUUCCCACUUUAUCCCUCAACCAAAUAAUGCCUAAAAUAAAAUAUUUGAUUAGUUUGUGACGCCACGCCACCAAUGCACCCGGUACAUUCUAGAAUUUUUCCUAAAAUUUAUACUCGUUUUGAAGUGCACCGGUAAUAAUAAUUUUAGACAAAAAGACGGUAAAAUGUUUGUACACCUGUUUCAUAGAAUUGUACAUGUAGAUUUUUCGUUUCAUUAUAUCUGUGGUAAUUAUCUUUCUACAAACACGUAACUAGGCUACACACUAGUAUAUAUAACACAAAGGAAAAUUCAUCACUCACGAUCUCACGCGCAAAUAGUAAAUAAUUCGAUAAUUGAUAUCUAAAAUUCAAGUUCAAAUUUUAAUUAUAUGAUACACAUCACAAAAAAAAAUUUUAAUUAAAUUUUGAUUUUUAGAACUACAAUAAAAAUAUUUAUUAUUUGACUAAAUUACAAAAAAUUUUUCUGUAAUUAUCCGUUUUUUUAUUAUGGCAUUUAAAAACCUACACUUUACUCCCUUAUAAAAUAAAAAAUAUUCACAUGAAAUUACGAUGUGUAAAAUGACCAUUUUGCCCCUGGCCGUUUUCGUCUUUUUUCUCAUCUUUCUCAGCUGCCCCUUCGAUCGGCUGCGAUUUCCAUCUCAAUCGGCCGCGAUUUCUCUUCAUUUCAUUCUCCACCUGCUCCCCUUCUCCUCCUGCACCCUCGCCGCCUCUCGAUUUCGACGAUAGUAGGAAAAAAAUCGAUGUGGGUGUUGAUGGAAAGAUAGGCAAUGACAACGAGGACAAAGACGAGACGGCGGAGGAGGACGAAGGAAAUGUGGGCGAGGGCGAGGCAAUGGAGGACGGCGAGGCGGCGGCGAGGCGGAAGGAGACGAAGCAACAAGAAAGAGAACGAAGGAGUAUUUUCGGCAUAAAAAAAUAUUUUAUAACGGAAUCCUAACGAUAGAGAGUAAAAUGCACAUUUUUAAUUUUACAAUAAGAUAAAGUAUAGAUUUUUAAAUGUCAGAGAAAAAAAAUAAAAAAACAGAUUAUUAUAAAAAAAAAUUUUAUAAUUUAACCUUAUUAUUUUAUCAAUUUGUUGAAAUAUUAUCUUCUUUUGUCCAGCUCAUACUAUCAAUUCAACAAUUUAAAAAUUCAAUUUCUAAUAGAGAUUGAGAAAAAUUAAAAAGACGGAUAUUUACACGGAGGUUUUGUGUAAUUUAGCUUCUUUUGUUUCAUUAGUGUGCGUUUUUUCACCUGAGCCGGGCUGGCGAGGGAAAGACGGCGUCCCAGAUGUCGCCGAAGGCUGUGGUGAUGGCGCGGUGGUGGCGGCGGUCGUUGAGCGAGAGCAAGCAGCGGAGCAGCUGCUCCAGCCCGGCGGCGUCGUAGAUCUCCUUCUCCACCACCAUCUCCGCCAUCGACCGCCGGAAGUCCCCCCGUGGGUCCUCCGACCUCUUCACCACCGCGAAGCUCUCCCCCACCCUCCCCUCAACCGCCACCGCCGCACUCCGCCGCCGGAGAAAUUUCUCCGGCGACGACACCGGCGUCUCCGUCUCGUCGUCGUCGUCCUCCUCCUCCUCCCCCUCCUCCUCCUCCUCGCCGCUCGAGAGCCGCGCGCUCCCCGCGCCGCGGCGCCUCCACCGCGGCCGUCCGCCGUCGGAGUCGAUUUUCCGGCGGGGGGAGGAGUCGCCGUCGCCGGGGGUGACGACGUGCCACUUCUCCUCCCGGCGCCAGAGGUACGCCGGCGCGCCGCCCGCGAGGGGGACCUCGUCGCCGUCGCCGUCGGAGCACAUCUGCCGGCGCCUCCGCCGCGAUCUCCGGCGAUCUGGGGAUAACGGCGUGGGUAACGGCGACGUCGCCGUCGGUGGAGCGGCAGCUGUGGAAGGAGGGGAAAGCGCGGGUUAUCCUGAAACGGAACCGCUUGGCCAUGGGAAACAACACUGCAGUAAUAAGAUCACUGCAGAGGAGGAGGGAGAUUAAAAGUUAAAACAAAAAAAAGAAAACAGAAGAAAAAGGGCGUUGCGAUUAGAAAAGAUGGUGGGCCAUUUUAUACACUCUGCUAGAUUACUUUGGUAGGAAUGUUUGUUACACCGUUGGCUUCAGCUGUGAGGGGUGGUGGGAUGGUGCGUCCUAAAAUAGGAGCCGGCUUGGAAAAAUUUGAUAUUAUCAUUUUUAUAAUUAGAGAAACAGUAAAUGCAUAUCUACUCUUCAAAAAUUAUGAGCCGUUUGACAUUUUAAUUCAUAAAUUUUAUUUUUUUAUAAAUUUUAGUUCUAUAAUCUAUAAUUUAUAAUCCAAUUUAGUUGACUAAAUAUUAAAAUAUUACUAAUGUAAAAGUGAUAUAGCAUUUAUAUUACAUUUUACCACCUUCACAUUAGUGAUAUAUGAAAGUUUGAGCCAUAAUUUAUAAAAAAAAAUUAAAAUUUGGGAACUAAAGUGUCAUCCUCUGAUAGUUUGAGGAGCAAACAUGUAAUUUAUCCUUAGAAAAAUUAUAGCUAAGCGUUUUAGAGGGGAGCAAGCUCAUGCUAAGCUCAGCAAUAUAUCGGGUGAAUUGCACCGAAGUAGUCCGCGGAGUUCUCAUCCACUUUUGCUUUUGUUCUCAAAAUUCUCACUUUAGUUGUUGUCCUAAUUUACAUUAGCAAUGCAGCUAGAAUUUUUUUUACUUUGUAUAGGUCGCAUCUGUAAAACCAUACAUUAUGCAUGGAGCAAUUGUUCUGUAUAUCAAUUCCACGGUUCGUUCUUUAAAUUUUUCUUGCUGCAAAUUUAAAUGGUUGAAUUGAGACUAUGAGAUGAAUAAAGAGCCAAUCAUAUAUAGAAGUACGGCUAGAACUUUUAAACGUAAACGAGAUCAUUUAAUUUGCAUCAUUUUCAACGUCUGAAUUAACGAUUAAUACUGUUAAACACUAUCGUAACUAUCUAAACUUUUUAUGCCUCUAAUUUUAUAAUUUUUAAAAAUAAAUUUUCAAAUAAGCAGAUGGUCUCAAAUAAUCUUAUAAUACUCCUUUGAAAUAGUUAAUUUUGAAAUCAUAUGAAUGCUACGCAAAUAACGCAAUUUAAAACCUAAAGCGUUUAUAUAGUCUAGAUCAAUUUUGGCGGUGGUAAUAGUCAAUCGGACCGUCCUAUCACCAACAAUGACACGAAAGUAUAUAACUUCAUUUAAUUUUUGAAAUAUUCCAGCUUCAUUCAUUCUUUCUUUUUCUUUGCAAGAUUUAUUGGCAAAAAUUUUGAAAGUUUUUUAUUUUUGAGAGAUAGGUAGCAUGUUAGCCGUUUCGUUUAUUUUAUUUUAAAAAUAAACAUAACUGAAAAUAUAAAUCAACUAGGAUUCGAACUUGAGACCUAGGGUAUCACCCACAAAGUCCUUUAAAAUUUUGAGAAUUGUUAAAUACAAAUAAUUACAUUCAAAAUUUCAAGAAUCAAAUUAAAAACUUGAGUAGCAUAGUACAACCAAUACUCUGAAGAUUUGAGUAGCUUCCAGAUGAUUCGUUGCAGUGGAAUCCCAGAAUUCCGCUUCCCACGUGUAAAUAGAGUUGGGCGGGAGUAGAUUUCCAAAUUCCAAGAAAAAAUUGCUUGAACCUUGUGUACUAUUAUACUCUAUGAACCAAAAGGGCAUUUAGUUAGAUGAAAUUGUAAAUGCAUUAUAAUUAAUCUAUAUAGUCAAAAAUAUAUCAGUUAUACUAUACUCUUAUGAAUAUAAUUUUUUUUGUACUCAUAAGUUUUUGACCGCUAGAUCUACUCCUUUUAUCAUUUCCACCCGUUAGAUCAUACUAUUAAACCAACCACCAUUCAACCCUAACAGACCACUAUUGACCUAAUCGGAGACCACUAUCAUCUUAAUCACGCAUCUCUUCAUCCAAUGGUCGAAAAUUUAUGAGUACAAAGAGGGCUAUAUUCAUAAGAGUAUAGUAGCCUUAGCCCAGUUAUAUAUAUAUAUAUAUAUAUAUAUAUAGGGUCCGGCUACUAUCCUAUUAAUAGGAUUGGGACCCUUAUCCUAUUAAGUCGAUUUGAAUGAUCGGAACUUUAAAUUGAAAAUCGGCACCGUUGAAGUUGAUCUACACAAUUAAAAUUGUUUAGAAACCAAAUUUUGUAAUAUUUAAAAAUCAUUAUCAAGUUCAUCUUAAGAGUUAAAAAAUGAACGGUCAUAAAUGAAUAACCUUCUUAAAAUAGAGGUUAGACUUUCUCAGUUUGUAAUCAGAGUUAUCAAAUAUUAUCUAAAUAGUAUAAAGAAUUUUCUAUCAAAAAUUUAAGCAAUUUGGAUUGCUCUAUACCGUUAAACAAGCAAACGGCUCAUAUAGGCUGUCAAAAAUUGUCGAUUUUACGACACUUUGAUCACCAUGUAAACUAUUAUCAAAAUUUAUGAAAUUUAGUUUCCAGAUAUUUCAAAUAUUCUAGAUCAACUUCAACGGCUCCGAUCAUCGAUUUGGAAUCUCGAUCAUCAAAAACAACUUGAUAGGACAAGUGCUCCUAUCCUAUUAAUAGGAUAGUAGCAUUAGCCUAUAUAUAUAUAUAUAUAUAUAUAUAUAUACUAAAAAGUGUUAUAACUAUAAAUAAGUUAUUUGUGACAUAUGGUUCAGAACAAUAUUUUUAAAUUUUAUCACUUUUUAUAUAUAUAAUAGUGAGAUUAUUAUUAAUGUAGAAGAAACAAAAUUUUUUUUUUUAAAUAAAAAUUAUUUUUUAUUUAAAGUUACUCUUUCAAAAUAAUACAAUUGGUAUUAUGACUAGUUUGGACAUAAUUUUUAAUUCUGUUGUUGAUCUUCCUGGUAUAAUUUCAACUAUAGAAAUUAAAUUUAAAUAUAUAAAAAAAACACAAUAUUUAGAUCUAUAUUCAAUUACAAGUUUGCAUCUACAUAUAAUUAAAUAGUUCCUACGAUUUCAUUAUCUAUGCAAUAAAAAUAAGUUUUAUUAUAAGGGUGCGUUUGGUUCGCGCUAUUUUUUAAAGAUUCCUAGUAAUCCAAUAGGAAUAAAAAUAUAUGACGGUGUUUGGCUAAACGCACUAAGUAAUCUAGUUGGUAAUAUUAGAUUCACUUGGGAAUAAGAUUCACACCAAAGUACUAAUCUCAUUCCCUUGAGAGAUGGUGGGUAUCCUCAUAUUAAUGGAUUGGAGUAAUUAUAAUAUGUCUAAUCUCUUUCUUUCUUCCUACCCGCCGGCAAUUGAUAUUAUUUUUCGUUACACUCUAAGGUAUCGUUUGGUUCGGGGAUAAGCAAAAAGUUGGUAUUCCAGGGAUAGGUAUAAAUUGAGGUAUAAGCGGGGAUUAGAUCAAUUUUGCGUUUGGAUGAAAAUUGGGUUAUUCCUGGGAAUAAGAAAAAUAACGUUUGGUUAGGUAAGAUAAAAUAAGAUUUAAAGUGGGUAGUUAUAAAUAAAAAUUAAUAAUAUUAUCACUUUUUUAUUUAUAUUAGAAUUUAAAUAUUUAUAUUUUAUAUUUAUAUUUUAAAAUUUAAAUUUUAACUUUUAAAUUUCAAAUUUUGAAAUUAAAAUUUAAAAUUUAAAAUCUCAAAUUUUAAAUUCAAAAUUUAAAUUUUAAAUUUCUAACUUUAAAUUUAAGAUCAAAUUUAAAUUUGAAAAAAAAUAAAAUUCAAAUUUAAAAUUUCAAAAAUUUAAAAUUUUAAAAUUUAAAUUUAAAAUUUAAAAUGUGGAAUUUAAAAUUAUAAACUUUAAUUUUGAGAUUACAAAUUUUAAAUUUUAAAUAUAAUUUAUUAUAAUAUUUUAAAUUUUAAAUUUAUUUAAAUUUUAAAUUUUAAUUUAUUUUAAUAUUUAAAUAUAAUUUAUUAUAAAAUUUAUUAUAAUAUUUAAAUAUAAAUAAUAUGUAUUAAUAUAGCACAAUUAAUAAUUUUAUUAUAAAAAUAAUGUAUUAUAAUAUAUAAUAUAUUAUAUUUAUAUAAUUUAGUUUUAAUUUAUUUUAUAAUUUUAAUUAAGUUUGAAAUUAAGCAUGAAAAUAGCACUAUUCCACCAAAAUGGUGGAAUAGUAAAAAGCUUGCUAUUCCGGGAUAACCGAGAAUAGCAAGCUUUGACCGGAAUAAAAUAUUUCGGUAAAAAAUGAUCCCGUUUGGCGGAAUAAUGGGGAUAACUUUUGUUAUCCCCGCUUAUCCUCCUAACCAAACGGGGCCUAACCUUAUAUCUCUCUCUAAACUUAUUUUUCUAUCUAAAUUCAACUUUUUUUCUCUCUCUCUUUCUAAAAUUUCAACUCUCUCACUCCCUUUAAUUUCGACUAUAUUUUUCUUCCUAUUUUUUUAAUUAUGCUCUCUCUCUCUCUAACUUAUACUCUCUCUCCCUUUUUUCUAAAAAUAUGUUGAAACUUUUUGUAACAUUAUCUAAAAUUAAUUAAAUAAAUAAAUUAAUUAAUUGUAUAUUUUUUGUAACAUUAAAUAACAUGGCUAAUUAAUAUUACCGUGCGAACCAAACAUAGGAAUUUCACAUUCUUAGUAAUAGAAUGAAUAGGAAUAAGAUUCUCGGAUAUCUUUUAUUCCUAGUAAUCUUUCAUAAUGCGAACCAAACGCACCCUAAUAGGGAUCCAACUGGAAUGUUUCUCGAAGUAAACCGAAGAGUUUACUUUUACAUUGUUUCCAGUGAUGGAAUUUGACUUAACGAGUCACACCGUUAAGCUUAAUUUAGGUCAUUUGAACUUUUUAAAUUUCAAAUUUUAUUAUUUUGUUAUAUAAUUUGUCUAGUAUUCUAGUGGUCUUAAAUUUAAAAAUUUUUAAUGGCUAAUAUAAAAAAAUUUUGAUACUACUUAAUUACUAGGCAAAAAAUAUUCCAAAAUCACAAAAAAUAAAAAUAAAAAUAAAAAAUUUAAAUAGCAUAAAUUAUGUUUAAAGGUAUAGAUCGUGGAUUUAAAUUCUCUACAGGUAGAAAAAAUAUGAAAAUAAAAUUCUCUGUUUACUAUCAAAAGUACUCGCAUCAUUUUUCUAACAUAUAAAAUUUUCAACAGCUUAUAGUCUAUAGAUCCUACGUGUAAAAUAAUUAUAUAUUUUAAAAUAAUCUAUAAUUCAAAUAAUAAGUAUUUUCAAAAAUAAAGAAUAGUAAUAAUACACCCUAAAAGAUGGCGUAGAUCUUAAAACCCCACAUUCGAAAGUUUACAAAUUCUAAUAAAUUUGCUAUAUUAAUAAUUUAAUAAAAUAUUAAAAAUUAUUGACAUUCGAAUGAAAGAAACGCAAGAUUUAUGCUUCUUUUAAAAUGUAUAUAUAAUAUUGUUCUUCAAAGACAUAUAAUUUUUUAAAAUUAAUUACAUACAGCUCUUUGCAAAUAUAUCGAAUAGCAGAUAUAUUCUUAGAAAGUUCAAAUUUUUAUAUUUAUUUUUUUAAAAGUUCUAACGUUUUCAAAUAUACCUCUAUUAUUAAGAUCUGUUAGAAAAAUAUAAUUAACUAUAAAUAAAAUACUUAAUCCUGGUCAGUAAUUAAAUGAGGUAAAUUGACCUUUUUACCCUUCUUAUAUUAUGUGUUAUUGCAAGAAAGAAGAAGAUGAUCGUUGGUAAUUUUUGAAAGGAUAUUUUCACAUAAUUUCAAUUGUUGGAGCUUUUGGAGGGACUUAUUUGUGAUAACAAAAAUAUUAUUUCAUUUAUCUUAUAUUAAAAAAUAAGCAGUACUCUAACAGCAGAGGGCUAAAUAUUUAUAUAACUGAACUUUUGUAAAAAUAAAUAUGAAAAGUUGAACUUUGUAAGAAUAUAUUUGUUAUUCGAUAUUUGUAUAGAAAACUAUAUGAAUUAACCUUUUUUUUGUAUGUGAACUUUUUAAAUAGGGUUAAUUUCAUACAUAUCCCUGCAAAUAUAGUAAAUUACAAAUAUAUUUCUAUAAAUUUCAACUUUUAUAUAUUGUUUCUAGAAAAAUUUUAAUAUUUUCAAAUUUGUCCCCGGCGUUAAAAUCUAUUAGAAAACUUUAAUUAACCAAAGAUUAAAUGCCUAACUUUGGUUAAUUUAUGAGAUAACUGGACUUUUUUUCUCUUAUGUUAUACUGUUGUGGUUUUUGGAGGCACAUAUUUGUGAUUGCAAAAUUGACAUUUAACUAAAAAUAUAAAUAAUUUUAUAACGGUAACAAACCAGAGGAACAUAUUUGAAAAUAUUAUAAUUUUUAUAGAAACAACAUAUAAAAAUUGAACUUUGUAAAGAUAUAUUUAUAAUUUACUAUAGAUUUACAGAGGCAUGAAUGCAUCUAACCUUUUUAAAUAUGUGAUGUGCAGGUACACCAGGUGCAGGCAAUUAUUUCUCGUCGUUCCCCUUCCCCCCAGUGGCCGUAACUGUGCGCGGGAGUUACGAGGCUCCGAAACCGUACCAUCUUUGACGAGUUCCCACGCAACACCCACAUACAAAAGCUCCGCAGAGCCCAAAUAUUCAAACCGAGGAAUCCAUCACCUAUUCGUACCAAAACUGCAUUCACGAAACUCGUCCAAUAGACAAUCGCCACGUGGUUUGAAAGAUAGGACGCCUUGUUUUUUGCGCACGUGGCGUGAUAGUUGUGGGCUGAUGGACUGUACUGAAUUGCAGCGAUGCGUGCGGAAUGGGGGACAUUCGGUUUAAAGGUGGAGAGUGAAAAUUUUUUCGAGACACCCUCAACUGUAGCAAAUUUGAAAUGAGCCCCUGAAGUUUAAUUUUUUUAAUUUAAAAUUUUUAAAUUUUUAAAGAAAUCAGCAUUCUAUCUCAUUAGGAAAUUCGAAUUGGACCGAGUUAUGAUCGAAAUUCUUUAUCUAUUCACAUUAGUUUAAUUAUUGUCCCUUUUUUAACUGUUCGAAUUUUUCGAUUCAACAAUAUAUGUUGAGAUAUUUAUUUGAAUGUCAAAAUGAAGUUGGUUAUAAUUUUUUUUUUUUUUUUUUUUUGUGAUUGAAAGUAUAGUAUUUUAUUUUUGCUCAUUAAAAAAUCUUGACAUAUAUAAUUUAACAAAAUAAUACAUUUCCUACAUGAGAUAGUUGAAUUCAUCUCCGAAUAAAAAAAGUUAAAAUUUCAUACAUAAUUUAUUGUUGACAUUUGAUCAAAUUUUUCAUCAUCUAAAUACCACUACCUUCGUAAGCAAUAAGGAGAAAUACGCUAAAGAAGCUAUGUGUGUAUCCUAACAUAUUUCUAAGGAGAAAAAAAACCAAGCCGCUUAUUUUUAAUCAUACAAAAAAAAUUGGCCUUUUUAUAAAAAAAAUUACUAAUUUUAUAUUUUUGCAUAUUCCAACCAAUUAUUUUAAAAAUAAAUCAAAAUAUUCCUAUGUCUUAAAUACCUAAUAUAUCAUUUCUUUGCUCUUUCCGGAUCUAUGUCUCCACCGUUGGUAGUAUUCACGAGCGCUCAUCUUAUUUUUGCCAUCUCCACACCAAUUAUAUUGUCGCGUUCACCUCAUGGUGCUCCUUACAAGAAAAAGGAAGAUGGUGAAACUUGAUCCGCUAGUCGUCGUGGCCACUCAUAGCCUCACUUGAGAUGGAGAAAAUGCAGCAAACAAGGAGGGUGAUGCUGAUCAAGAAUACUUCCAAAGCUUGUUAAUGAAGCUAAGUGUAGCCGACAUUGGGAAGAUGGUGGCGAUAGUGUGAGAGGAGAAUCUAAGGUACAACAUAAUGUUACACUAUUUGAAUAUAUAUUACACUAUUUAGUAAAAAAAAUUACACAAUUUUAUAUUUUAUUUUAUGUAUUAAAUAAUAUAACUUUGUUACUAAAUAAUUCUUCAUGUGUUCAGAGUUCAGAUAGUGCAACAUUGCGUCGUUUCUCAUAUUUUUCUUCUCUUGUUGCCGCCGCUAGUUUGUCAUCGUCGAUCACGCUCAUAAAGCCCUCGAGAAUCUAUUUCAGAAGCAUUCUUAACCAAUGAUCAUCGCCUUUUACCUCUGCCGCCUUCGUCUCCAUCUCCAAAACGUCAGUCUCGUCUCUACCGCCGCAAUCUGGCUGGCGAUUGCCAAAAACGGCAACAGCCACGAGCUAAGUUCGUCAUCGUUCUCUCACUCGAGGGUGAGGUAACAGAAAAGUGCAGUGAUGAUGCAGAGACAAUGGGAGAAAAAAAGAGCUAAAAGAUAAAAAAAAAAUAUGUGUAUUUUGAUUGGUUUGAAAAAAAUCGAUCAAAUAUAUAAAAAUAAAAAGAAUAGUUUAUUUUUAUAAAAUCGCAAAACUACUGAUUUUUUUCUUUUUUUUUUUAGCACAAGGGCUAGAAAAAUUUUCAUGGGGUUGUCGAUAUUCAGGAGAAGAAUAAAAGGGGAAAAAAAAGUGACUAAGUCAAUUUAAAAAUAACGCAUAGUUGAAGGGUAUACUUACAUAUUUACCUACGUUUUGGCCGUUUGGGGAAGUUAUAAUAAUAAUAAUAAUAAUAAUAAUAAAACAUUAAAAAAAAAAAAAAAAAACACUACGCCUGAGGGGGACUUUGAGUUUGAAGUAGGCACGGUGACAACGCGGAUACAGCGAGUAGGGGGCCACGCCACAGCGCCACGUGGCGAUAAUCCAACGGAUACACGACAACACGGUCUCGCUCUCUACAUCCCCCUCUCUCUCCAUCACAUCCGAACUGGAGCCCACGGUGCACCGCACCCUCGUCGUGUUCCUCGUUGUCCGCGGUCCGUCCGAUCUCGAUCGGAGGGCGGGGGUGUCUCCUCGUAGUCAAACCUGUUGCCUCGCUUGGGAGGGCCCCGCACUGGGACGUCCGAUCGCGUCUUGAGUGGACGGCUACGAUUGAGACGGGGCGUGGAUAACACUUCGUACCUGGAACCCGCACGCGAAAGUUUAUGCGGACGCGCUCGGCGGUUUUUGAUCGAGUAAAUGGGCGGUUGGGAUUUUACGGACCGCUAUAAAUAGGCAUGUGAGAAAUAAAAUUUAUUGUAUAGCACUUUCUCUUUCACCAUAUUAUUUAUAAUUAAUUUAUUAUAUUUUUUUAAAAUAAUAAUAAUAAUAUUUUUUAUAAAAUUAUGAUGAAUGAAUAAAUUUUAGAAAAUUAAUUUAAUUAAUUAGAAACUUAUAUUAAUAACGUCACUACGGUAUUCUUAAAAAUUUCGCGACUUUGAGGAGGAUUUUUUAAAGAUUUUUCUUAUGCGGUUGUCCGUACGAAGCAGGGCAUGGGUUUGCGGUCUCUUUGACUUGGUGGUUGGUACAAUAGUGUUUAUUAGUGAUGCAAACGGAACGGAUCCGUGGCCGACGGGUUUUCUCACCUUUCGUGUUAUAUUUUUUUGUUGGAAUAUUUUUUAUUUUAUUUUUGAUUUUUACUUACUGUUCAAUUCGAAACUUUUAAGCAUCCGUUUAGUUCGGGGUUAAGAGGUUAUUCCACCUCUUAACCCCGAAGUUAUUUUCAAAUAUCUAAUUUGGGAGGUGGGGUUAGCUAAUCCUAUUCCAAAUGGACUAUCCCGAUAACCCCACCCUACCCUACCACUCCAAUCAAAUAAAAUACUAUUUUACCCACUAUUCUUCUUAUUCCACCUACUCCAACUAAAUACUAUUUUACCUAUAUCUGAAAUAAACCAAAUUCUCAACCAAACACAAAAUUACUCUAACCCCACCUUAAUCCUGAACUUAACUCUAUCCUUGGAAUCAUAAGUUUUUACUUAACCCCGAACUAAAUGGUGGCUUACUUAUUGUCUCAUUCGAGACGGAUCAGGACGAGAGUAAAUUUUUGGCGAAUUUUUGACGGAUCUUAGCGAAAUUGAAGAAAGAAAAGAGUCUUCCGCCUCCCAUUCCAUUUACUUAACGAAUCGGAGCGAAUUUGGGGCGGGUUAUAAUUUUCUAUAUUUGUUGUUCUCACUUACCACCUAUUUGGAACAAGUCGGGGCAGCAGCUCUACCAAUCCAAAUCCAUUUGCAUCCCUACUGUUCAAUCGCUACAGUCAAAUCUCUCGGCAUGUGGAUUUUAGGGCCUAUCCGUUUAAAAUUAAAAACAGUUUUUAGUUAAAUAAUAAAUUAGAUGCAAAUUAUUUCUUUCAUUGUUGUUUAUUUGGUAGAGAAUUAAUAAUUUUUCCCGUAAUUUUUUUUUCCAUUUUUGUGUUUGUGUUAUGAAAACAUUUUACACCACCACAUAAAAUAUAAAAUAACUAAAUUUUUUAAUUUGUUUUCAUAUUAACAUUGUCACAACUCAAAACAAAGUCAACUAGGAUAUUUUUUAAAAAGGAGAGGUUACAUGUGAAUUUAGUUUAUGGCGAAUUAAAUACCGAAAGUGAAUAUUUACAACGAAAAAUCACUUUCCCUUUUUAUAUGUUUAGUGAAACAAAUAUGCUGGCGUAAGUAUGAAACGGUUAUUUAAAACUAAUAAGUUAGUUAGCUAAUUAACAAUAAAAAUAAGAGUAAUUACAACUUCCAAAUAAAAUAUUUUUCUAAUUAAUAAACUUCAAAGUACUGAUAAAAUAAUAAGUUAAUUAGUUAGCUAAUUAACUAUAAAAAGUUAAUAUGUUAGUUACUAAAUAAAUAAUCUAGUUAGGUAGAUAAUUAGUUAACAGAUUAAUUAAAUUCGUCAAAAUAUUAUAAUUUAAUAAAUAUUAAUAUUAAUUAAUGGAUAAGCGCAUAAAAUAAUUAAUUAUUUAAUUAUUUAGUUAAUUAUGAACAAAAAAAAUUAAUGGCUUAAGCAGUUAGGUAAAAAUUUAUCAUUUUCCAGACGGGUGCUGUGAAGGCAAAGUAGGACAAAAAUUGUGCGGGAAGGGUUUUCCAAAUUAUCCAUUUGAGGGCAAGAUUUUUUUUGCGGCCUAGUCUGUGGAUCUCACGUCGCGUGGCAAUUUGGUAAGAUAGUUGAAAUUUACUUUUCUUCAACUAUUAGCGGAUUCAAAAUAUUUUUAGACCCAAAAAUAAUAAAAAUUAUAACAAAAAUAAAAAUUAAGUAUUAACUAAAUACUGUUUAGUGGAUUCGAAUUCGAGCUAACCAUAGAGUAGACCUGGCUGGAUUCGAAUUCGAGCACUCAUUUCCGGAGCCCGGCCCGUACUGUUUAGUGGGCUUCGGGCUGGACCGACGUGAGAUUCUAGAACCCAGGCCUAAAGUCCAAAAUAUGUCAGGCAUUUCUUACACCCAUGUUUUAAAGUAAAUCCUACAUUAAGUAUAAAUUUAUAUAAUAAAAAAUUUAAUUAAAGAGUAUAAUGCUAUAACAAUAGUAUAAUAUGCAUUUAUUUAUGUAGAUAUUUGUAUGUUUGUGUAAUCGUGUGUGCGGCCCCCUCUCGCACACAUAAAUAGAUAUAUUCAUGCGCAGAAUAAUAAUAACUAAAAAAAGGUGGAAUUGGGCUCAAAUGGUAUAUUAUUCAUGAGGGAUUCUAACCAUUUAUAUCAUACAAGUAUAAGACAUGCAUAGUAAGUAUCAAUCAAUCAACCCAAAAAGAAAAAAGAAUAAAUAAUAAAUAUGGUACAUAAUUAAGGAGAAUAUGGAAAGUAAAUGAGAGCACAUAUGGUAGUAACCACAGGUUCAGAGGUAGUCGGCAUCACAAAAUGCCCAAAUAAUAGGAGCUGAUGAAUUGUGAAGAAGUAGACCAUGAUAUAAUGUGUUUCGAAUAUAUUGCAGAAUUCGUAGGACCGCAACAUAAUGAGUUGUUUGGGAAACUAACAUAAACUGACUAACAAUUUGAAUAGCAUAACUGAUAUUGGGCAUAAUAAUUGUAAGAUAAUUGAGACUACCAACCAAUUGUCGAUAGAGAGUUGGAUCGGAAAGAAAUGUGCCACCAGUAGGCUGAAGUUUGACAUGAAGUUGGAGUGGAGUGUCGGUUGUUUGCUGUCAGUUAAUCCAGCACGAAAAAGUAGUUCAGAAGCAUAUUUUACUUUGGAAAGAAAUAGACCUUUAGUUUGAUAAUCUAUUUCAAUUAUAAGAAAAUAGUGAACUUGUCCAAGAUCUUUUAUUUCAAAAUGUUUAUUGAGCUGGUGUUUGAUAUCAAAAAUUCCCUUCAUACCAUCACCUGUAAUAACCAUAUCAUCAACAUAUAAAAAAAGACCGACUUUCUCUAACGCAAGUGGCAAAGGGUUUGGUGGUUGGUACCCGAGGUCCCAAGUUCGAAUCCUAGUUGAUUCAAAUUUCAAGCUAAAUUUAUUUCUAAAUGAAAUAAAUGAAGCCGGUAACAUGCUACCUAUCUCUAAAAAAAAAAAACAUAUAAAAAAAGAACAAACAUAGCAGAGUCAUGAUUGCUUUGAGAUUAAAAGCCCUGCUGGAGGAUGGUACAAUGAAACUUCUCAAACCAUGCUCUUGGAGCUUGUUUAAAACCAUACAAAUUAAGCUUUGCGAUGCUUACACAUAUAUUGUGGAGGAUGAGAUAAGCCCAGAGGAGUCAUAUAUAUAUACUUCAUCAGAAAGAUCACCAUUUAAAAAUGCAUUCUUGACAUCUAUCUAGUAAAGUUUCUAACUCUGAAUAGAUACCACAGCCAACAGACUAAGCACAGUAGUCAUUCGUGCGACAGGAGCAAAUGUUUCCUCGUAAUCGAUUCCAUAUUCUUGGGAAAAGCCUUUAGCAAUGAGUCGUGCCUUAUCUCAUUCUAUAGAACCAUCUAAUUUGGUUUUAAUUUUAUAGAUCCAUUUAUACCCAAUAGCAAAUUUUUCCAGUGACAAUUUAACAAGCUCCCAAGUAUUGGUCUUUUGAAGAGCAGUGAGUUCCUCAUUCAUGGCUUGUUGCCAUUUAAGAUCAGAGAAGGUUUCAUAGUACGAUUUGGGUUUAUAGUGGGAGAAAAUAGAGGAUAGGUAACAAUAAUAGUCAUUGAGAUAACUUGGUGGUUGUCUUUUGCGAGUUGGAUGAGAUCUUUCUGGUUGCAUAUUGUCUAGAUUGCUAGAUGGGCAAGAAGGGUUGAGACAAAGAUCAUGUUGACCAUUGGCGGUUGUUUGUAAGGGAAUAUCAGAUGAGGAACUCUGUUGAAAUAGGUCUAACAGUGGAGAAUUGGAUGAAAACUUUGAUGCUGAAAGUGUGAAGAAAUUUAUUCCCCAAAUGUGAGAUGACUAGAGAUACACAAUUUUUUAGCAAUAGGGUCAUAACACCUAUAGCCUUAAUUUUGUUGAAGUCCAUUACCAAGAAAGACACAUAUAGCAGUUUUCUUGGUUAGUUUGUUGCACUCUCUUUUAGGUAGAAGAACAAAACAUGUAGAACCAAAAAUACGAAGAUGUGAGUAAUCUGGACUAACAUUAUGAAAACGUUGAAAAAGGGUUUCAUCAUUUAUGAUAGGUGAAGGAAACGAUUGAUAAUAUAAACAGUAGUAAGUAUAGCUUCACUCCAAAUUUCUUAGGAACAGAAGCCGAAAGAAGUAGAGUGUGUGCAGUUUCAAUAAUGUGACAGUGUUUUCUUUUAGAAACUCCAUUUAGUUGAGGUGUCUCAACACAAGAUAAAUGAGAAAGAGUACCUUGAUAUAUAGGGUAUUAUUUGAAAGCAUGUGAUAUAUAUACUCCGCCAGAAUCAGAUCAAAAAUUUUUUAUAGCUUUUGAAAACUGGUUUUUUAUCAUAGUUGAAAAUUCUAUGUAAAUAUUUAAAAAGUCAGCUCAAUUAUGCACCAAAUAUAUCCAUGCAUAGUGGGUGUAAUCAUCUACAAAUAUAGCAUAAUAAUGUGCAGCUCCCAUUGAGGGCAUAGGAGCUGGUCCCUAAAUAUCAAAGUGAACGAAAUCAAAUGGAGCAAAAGUUACAGAUUCACUAAAGGAGCAUUUAGUUAGAUGUAAUUAUAAAUGCAAUGUAGUUAUAGAUGCAUGUAGUUGAAAAUAUAACAGUUACAACUAUAUACAUUCUGUUUGGUUGGAUGUAGUAGAAAGUGCUGCAAAUAUAAAUAAUUUAUUUGAUUGCACGCAGUUGAGAAAUAAUUUUUAAAAUUUUAUCAUUUUAUAUAAUAUGAUAGUGAGAUUGCAUCCAAUGCAAAAAAGAAAAUUUUUUUUGUUUAAAAAAUAAUUAAGUAGGUAAGUAUACUUUUUAUUUAAAGUUACUCUCUCCAAUUACUGUAGUUGGAGCUACGGUCAACUUGGGUGUAGUUCGAAUUGUUGCAAUUGAGCCUCCUCCUGCAAUUCCUACUACAGCAGUUAGAAUUAAAUACAUCAAACCAAACACUGAAUUUGCAUUUGCAUGCAGUUACAACUACAGUGCAGUUGCAACUACAUGCAACAAAACGGCCCCUAACAGUAAAAGCAAGUGCAUGUUGUUUGGCAAGUUUGCAAUCAGCACAACAAAAGUCUUUAUUGAAAGAUACAUAUCCUAAUAAUCCUUUAUUAACCAAAAACUUAAGGCAAGAAAAGGAAACAUGUAAGUCUUUGAUGCCAAAAUUUAGAUGUAGAAGAAAAAGGAAAGAGAAGAGGAAGUAGUAGAAGAGACAGCACAAUAAGUACCCUGGGGAGAGAGAUGAAGAUUAUCAACGACAGCCAACCAGCCAACUCUAUGCCCUGUCGCAACUUGCUUCCCCGUCUUGCAAUCUUGUACAAUUACAACCAGAUAAAUUAAAUAUUUUAGUAAAACCAAGUUCACAAAGUUGUCUAACUAAAAUUAAAUUCAUAGAAAGUUUAGGUACAAGAAGUGUAUUUGGUAAAGAUAGGUUUUCAGAUUGAAGAAGGCCAAUGUGAGUGGCAAUGACGAUAGAGCCAUCGGCUAUUCAAAUUAUAGGAGAUGAUACUGUAGUUGUAUGUUUAGUAAUGCAUGAAGGAUCAUAUGUAAUGUGGUUGGAGGCACCGGAAUUGAAAAACCAAGAAGUAGGAUAAAUACUUGAUGGAGUAGAAGAAGCUGACAAAGAUGAAUUUGUACCAAUAUAUACUAAGAGCUUGUUUAAUCAUUGCCUAUACAUCAUCUGCAGCGAGUAUAGUGGAUAUAGAAGAACAUGCAGAGUUGCAAGAUUGUGGCAACCAAUGAUCAGACAUUGUCGCAGCCUUUUGCUGAUAUAUGUACUUCUUCUUGUUCUACAUAUUGCGAGAAGUUGGUGCUGUACAAAAUUUAACAGUAUGUCCAAACUGCUUGCAGUAGUUGCAUUGCACUUGUGGCAAGUCACGCGGUGGACGUAAGUUUGGUGUAGCGAGGUUGGAUCGCACGUCACGAUGCGCAUCAGAAAAUGGCUUAUAACGAGGGGAGGCAGAAGUAGCAAGACCAGAGGAAUUGUAUGAAAAAUAAAAAUUAACAGUACCUUUGCUUGUUUCUUCAGCAAUUAACUUUGAAGGAGCCACAUCAACAGUAGGAAGCGGUGUGCGAUAAGGAAUAGAGGUACGUACGUACAGAUUCGUAAUCAUCUUGUAAAAGCCAGGAGAAAUUAGACAAGUCGAGUUUCUUCAAGUAUCAGCUGAUACUGAUAGUAAAGAUCAGUAUCAGCUGUCAACUUUGGCUCAGUUAAUGCUAAUUGGUCCCAAAUGAAGGACAUCUGAGAGUGAAAAUCUGAUACGGAUUGGCCCUUCUGUUGCUUCAUUAUACGAAUAUCCAUUUCAAGUUUGUAUUUGCAUGCAAAAUUGGUUUGAUUAUAUAGGGUCGAUAAAAAAUCCCAAACCUCUUUUGCAUUAUCAAAGUUUUUGAAUUGCAUACUAAUAGUAGGACUAACAGCAUUAGCAAUCCAUGUUAAUAUUUUAUUGUUAUUAGUUUCCUACUUUUCAAUAGCAUCAGAGAUGCAUUCAUCACAUUUGUAUUCUCCGUAAAGUACUUCCAAAGAACUUUUCCUUUCAGAAAACUUCUCAUAAGAAAAGCCCAGUGUGUAUAUAUAGUUGGUGCCCUCAAGUUUAACAAUAAUAGGUUGUGCUGACUCCAAAUUCAUUAUGUGGAGAUAAAAAAAGAGAGAGGUUACCAAAAAUAGUUGGGAGUUUUGGUUAUAAGAGAGAGGUGCAUUCAUUGCCUUAAUAUAAGAUUAUUUGCCUUAAUACAGAACGCAAACAAACUGUUUUGUGCCUAAAUAAUUUUAUUUUUAUCAACACUUAUAAUAAGAAACUAUACCACACUUUCAUUGAGAGGCUACGACGCAUGCAUUGUAUGCUCUGAGGUUACUUCAUAGGCAUUAUGGAUCAUGAACUUUAUUUCAGAAUUUAAAAUUAUUGACCUUUAUCUCUAAACCUUUUAAGGACAUGUUUAUUUUAAGUUAGAAAACGGAAUAGAAACUUGAAAGAACCAGAACAGGAGACAGAGUGAUAAAAUGCCUCUAUUUGUUUGGCUUGAAACAGUAAUUGGAAUGAGAAUAAUUCAUUUUCAUUAUAACUGUUUGGAUAAGUAAACAGUAAUGAUUUGAACAACAUAGAUUCACAAUGUCAACAAUAUAAAAUUUGAUUUUAAAUUUGUGUUGAAAUUUGAAUUCAAUAAUUCAAAUUCAUAUUCAAUUCCAAAUUUAAAAGUAAAAUUAAAUGUAGAAAACAAACUUAAAUUAAAUUUAACUUUUGACUAAAAAAAUUAAAUUUUAAUUAGAAUACAAAUUUACUAUCUAAAUUUGUUUUCAAAAUUUGAAUGCAAAUUUAGACUCAUAAUUUAAACUUAAAAUUUAAAUCAAAUUUGAAGAAAAUUCAAAUAACAUAAUUUAAAUAUAAUUCAAAUUCAAAUUCAAAUCAAAAUUCAAAAUUGGAACUACAAAUUAAAAAAUCAAACUUAUAUUAGAAUUCAAAUUUAAACUUAAGAAUUAGAACUCAAAUUUAAAUUUAUGUUUAUAAUUUUAAUUUUGAAUUUAUAAUAUAAUAUGAAUUUAGUUUAAAUUAAUCAGUAUUUGAAUGUAACAAAUUGGUAGUGAAAAAAAAGAAGAAGAAGAAAAAGAAGAAGAAAUGGGUUUUUUUUUUUUUUUUCCAAUCCCUUUUGGAAUCAAUGUAGACUCCAACCUUCAUGGUGGGAGGCAUUUUGAGAGAAUUGGAUUCUCCUCAAAUGAAAAUUGAAAUGUGAAUCUCUUGAAUCAAACAUCGACAAUAGGAGUUACAUUUUUUUAUUCUCAUUCUAACCGUAAGAUCUUUUAAAUCAAACACGCCCUAAAGGUUUAAGGCGAUAAUUUUUAUUGUUCUUCUCUCUGACAAUAAUACAAUUACGAAUAUUAAUUAAUAAGUAUUUUGAAAUAAAGCUGUGCCCGACUCUAGAAAGAAUUGAGAAUUGUAAGAUGUCACUUAAACACCUCAAUAUAAACUUAUAAUUUCAUACCUCAUAAUUUAGGCUUUACCAUCUCACUUUUUUUUUUUUUUUUUUGAGAGAGAGAUAGGUAGCAUGCUACCCGCUUUGUUUAUUUCAUUUAGAAAUAAACUUAGCUGGAAAUGUGAAUCAACUAUAAUUCGAACUUGGGUCUCGGAUACCAACCAUCAAGCCCUUUGCCACUUGCUCUAGGAACGGUCAGUAAUUAAGGCUUUACCAUUUGAUCUGUCAUUUAAACAACUUUGAGAUUUAUGCUAUUUCACUAUAACAGAAGUAGGUUAUAGGGACACAUGUUUGGGACACUUUUAAGUAAGUAUCUCAUUUAUACUAAAACUUAAAAAAACAUUUACUAAUGCCUAAAUAUAAAGCCCAAUCCAACCAAAAAUAAAAGAUUACUCUACUCAACCCACCACACCCAGUCUAUUUGGCCUAAUUACAAAUAGAAAAGAAAAAAAAAGAAAAAUCAAUUACCAUCUUUUCUUCUCUUUUUACUCAAUCUACUGAAAUUCUAGACGAAGAGUCUUUCCUGUCGUCCUCCUCUGCCACUGCAGCCAACGAAAUAGAGUUUCGACGGUUGCUAAAUGCUUAAAUAAGUGUUUGUAAAUUAGCAGCACUCUUUUAUGUUAUAGCGACACCUUUUAAUUGUCACUAUAUACCUAGCGACCCCACAUAUAGCAACACUUUUUAAAAGUGUCGGUAAUUUUAGCUAGCAGCACUUUUUUGACAUGUACCUAUAUUUAAAAGUGUCGCUAUAGAUCGUUUUUGUUGUAGUGAAUUGUAUAAGAAAUGACGAAUAAACUAGUCUCUUGGAGACUAUCCCUAACAAUUUUUUAAUCUAUUUUUAUCUUAAAAAAAUAUUCUAGAUAGAAAUAAUAUUCAAUCAAAAACUUUAUAUUCCACUGAAAUAUAAUAAUUUUUUUAAAAGUAUUAUACUUUGAUAAAAUUCUUUUUUAUAUUAUAUGGUAAAAAAAUUAAAUUUAAAUACAUUUCCUAGGCUUAGGUCCACACCUCUCUUUUUAGGGUUAAUUUUUUUUAUGCCCUUCCAAAAAUUUAUAAUUUCAUUAAAUUGAAUAGAGAGGUAUUAGUGAUAAAUUUGUAUGUUUAAAAGGGUAUAAAUGAUAGUUUGAAUUUUGGAGGAUAAUGAUGACAAUUUGAAGUUUUGGAGGGGUAAGUUGAAAAUUUCCCUUCUUUUUAAAGUUGUAGCGUAGAAAAACGGUGCUCUGGUCAAACGAAACUUUCCCAUCGACACAAUUUCAUUGUUUUCGACACGUCAUCCCCAACGUCACCACUCACUCUCUCUCUCUGAUCCUGUGUUCACCCUCCCCCUACGGAGCACCCUCGUACGCCGAUCAUCACCGUCCAUGUUUUAAUGAACGGCCACGAUUAGCAUCUCAUGGAAAACAACAUUUCUUGCACAAAAUACCUAUUAUCUUCGAUGAUUAUUAUUAUUAUUAUUAUACGCUAACCCCCACGUACGAUUAUUAUUUUGACUAUUGCAUAAAUUCUACUAUGGAGAUGUCAACAUUUGAGUCUACAUUAUUCGUGAGUUUACAAUUUAAUAUACUAAUUCCUUUCAAAGAAUAAUUUGUUAUGUUCUUAACGCUACUUAGAACUCCAUUUGAGACCGAAGAGCACCUCACGUACACUGCAAAUACUUUUUUAUUCAAUCUUAUUAAAUUUUUAUAUUAUAAAAUAUAUUUUAGAUGAUACUUUUUAGAUGAUGUUUUAUUCUAACAUCUUCAAUAUUUGUCAUGUGCUGACAUCAUGAAUAUGUGUUACCAACGAACAUAUUUUUGUGAAGUACGGAUAAAAAUUUUCCGAACACAAUAUUAAAACAUCGGUAUAUUUAUCCAAAUAUAGUUACUUAAUGAUUAGCUCUUUACUUGAUGCUUUUACAAGCAUCGGGACUAUUGCUACCAACAUAUUAAAGUGCCGUUAGUUAUUUUUUAAAGUAUCGUUAAAUAAAUAUUUUGUUGUAGUACAUGAAUUGAACAAAAAAAUUUAGAUUGAAACAUAUUUUAAAUUACCGACCGUCUUUGGAGCAAGUGACAAAUGGCUUGGUAGUUGGUACCCGAGGUCCCAAGUUCGAAUCCUAGUUGAUUCACAUUUCCAACUAAGUUUAUUUCUAAAUGAAAUAAACGAAACAGAUAGUGUGUUACCUAUCUUUCAAAAUAAUAUACAUAUAUUUUAAAAUUUGAACACGCUGUUUUGACGAGAAAUAUUUCGGAAGUUAUUUAACAUAGCGACAUUGUACAAGGUCACCAAAAUAUAUAUAUAUAUAUAUAUAUAUAUAUAUAUAUAUAUAUAUAUAUAUAUAUAUAUAUAUAUAUAUAUAUAUAUAUAUAUAUUGGAGACACCUGUUGGGCCAAUAAGGCGCGGACACAUGGUACCUCGGUAUAGCACAACAGUUACAUUUAAGAGUGGUAAUUUUUGUUGUGCACCGGGCGCAUCAAAAAAAGAGUACUGGCAUGAAUUAAGAGAGGUUACAGUAACCGUGAGCAGUUACAGGCGAUUUUGAUCGGCUGAAAGUGGCCCGAGAAAAUAGGAAUAGUGGCUGAUCAUGGAAGGCAAUAACUGAUCAACUGGGGUGAUCUAUAAAUAGGCCAAUAAUGACCUAAAAAAAGGUCUUUUCACUGUGAACAGAAGACCACCCUUAUUUUCUAUGUAAUUUCUUCGCAUUUUUUAGGAGUAGUUCUACUUGUAAUCUUUCAUUUUUCAGUAUUUACCAUUUUUUCUCUAGGAGUAGAAGUAGACUAGAUCAACCGCGUCUGUAUGCCCAUAGGCACACUCGAUCCCUGUAUUCUUUUCACCAAUUAGUUUCAAUAUAUUUAAAUGUUUUCGGCUAUUCAAGCCGACCAAUCACUGUAUUUUCUUCCAUUCGACUCUUCGGCCGACCUUAGUUUCUGUGCCGUCCGUACAUUCGGCUCAUCCAGCCGAAUCAAUUCUACAGUAGAGAUUUUGAACUCGGCUGAUUCGAUCUCUUGUCAGUCGAAUCGCUUGAUCCAGUCGAAAGACGCAAACUUCGAGGUCACAAUUCGAAGCCGUUUUGCUUCCUUGCAUUAUUUCCGAGGAGAAUUUUUGACCAGAUAAAAAAUAAGGACUUUUGGCUACCAACAAUACCAAAAGGGCCCCACAGGGCUUGAGGAAAGAUUAAAUAGGAAAAAAAAAAAGGUGAGCUUCGGUAAAAUAGUAAAAUGAUGGUCAUCGGGAUUGUAUUUGUGGAUAUGUGAGGGCCCACUUUUAUAAUACCAACUCCGCAAGAAAUCUCGCGUAAAUUUGUCGAAAAAAAAAACUCGCAUAUGGGCUGCUCCAAUUCGCGCGCUCGCGCACCACUCUACGUUUCCAAUUUCUCCUGCACCGUCGGAUCUCGAUCCAACGGCUUGCGAAUUGUUGGUUCCUCGCCAAGUCGCACUCAUGGACCCCACCGCACGACGUAUGCGAUUGCGAAUGCUCGCACUCUCCAUAACAAUUGUUAUAGAAAAAAAAAGAAAAUGGUAAACAUGUGUGGAGACCCCUCAACUAUCGUUCGUUUGAAAUUAGCCCUUUAACUUUUCCAUUUUUUUGGAUUGAGAUUUUCUUUACUUUUAUUUUUUUAAAAGAAAAUUUUGGUUACUUUUAGUUGAAAAUUUUGUUAAAAUUUAUAGUUCUAUUAGUCAUUGAUUACUAAUUAUUUUAGUUUUAUUUACUAAAAAUAGUUGUAAUGAUUAAAUUUAUUAAAUUAAAAAAGUUUAUAAGUAUGGAGAUCUCGAUAAAAGAUUUAAAGUUGGGAGGGUCGUUUUCAAAAUGAUCAACAGUGGAGAGAUUUUUGAUACAUUUUUUUCUAAUAGUAUCAGAACAAUGGCUAUGGACCUAUGGUACACUCCACAAAAAAAAAAAAAAAAAAAAAAAAAAAAAAAAAAAAAAAAUAUAUAUAAUAUAUAUAUAUAAUAUAUAUAUAUAAUAUAUAUAUAUAUAUAUAUAUAUAUAUAUCUUUUAUUAAAUCUAUUUUAAAUUAUAAAUCUAGUAUUUACUGGAACUCCUCUUGUGUCCCCCCUACGACCAGCCAUCUCUCUCGUAAUAUUUUCCACUCUGUUUGUUUUUUUAAAAAAAAAUAUUUUUUUUAAAAGAGAAUAAUAAUAAUAAAAAUAGGACAGAAGAAAUAAAUAACCAAAUAAUCAAUCUGCUUUCUUUGAAACUUCUCCCCCAAUAUUGCUCCCAAUUCUCGGCUCCUAUAUAAUCCCCAAUCCUUCUCACUGCCCCCAAACACGAUCCCUUCUUCUCGCUUCCGUCUGUCUCCUUCUUCGACAUGGCCGCCUGCGUCGAGAACUGUCGGACCAAGUCGACCUUCCUCUGCUGGACGACCGCCGCCGCCGCCGCCGCCGCCGGCGACUCCUCCUGCAAAUUCUCCGUCUGCUCUCCGCGAAGGAGCUGUACAACUCCCAUCGAUCAAUACAGCGACGGUGCUGCUGCCGGCGACGACGACGAAGUGUGGGCUGAGCUGCGGGACGAAGCGCGGUCGGACGUGGAGGACGAGCCGAUCUUGCGGCAGUACUACUCCGACCUCAUCCUCUCCCACCGCUGCCUGGAGUCGGCGCUGGCCGCGCACCUGGCGGGCAAGCUGUGCGUGCCGGGCGUGGUGGCCAGCGGCACGCUGUACGACCUGCUGUUCUCCGCGCUCGCCGGCCGACCUGCGGGCGGCGCGCGACCGCGACCCGGCGUGCGCGAAGAUGGUGCACUGCUUCCUGUACUACAAGGGGUUCCUGGCGCUGCAGGCGCACCGGGCGGCGCACCGGCUGUGGGGGGAGGGGCGGAGGGCGGCGGCGCUGCUGCUGCAGGGGCGCGCGUCGGAGGCGUUCGCGGUGGACAUCCACCCCGGGGCGGCGGUCGGGGAAGGGGUGCUGCUCGACCACGCCACCGGGGUGGUGAUCGGGGAGACGGCGGUGGUGGGGAGCGACGUGUCGAUACUGCAUGGGGUCACGCUCGGGGGCACCGGGAAAGAGAGCGGCGACCGGCACCCGAAGAUCGGGGACGGGGUGCUGAUCGGCGCGGGUACGCACAUCCUGGGCAAUAUAAGGAUCGGGGACGGGGCGAAGAUCGGGGCCGGGUCGGUGGUGCUGAAGGAGGUGCCGGCGCGGACGACGGCGGUGGGGAACCCGGCCAGGCUGGUCGGAGGGAAGGAGAGCCCGGUCCUGUCGGAGGGGUUGGCGGGCUUGACCAUGGACCAAACCUCAUGGUCUCGUGAUUUGUUGUAAACUGAUCAAUUAAAAAUGUAUCUGUUCUAUCAGUUAUACAUCUAUACGUUCCUUCCCAAUGCGGAGUGUGGGCAAGUAGGCCUAAGAGGUUUGGGAGUUCAGUGAGUCAUUGAGCUCCUCUGUUCCACUUUCACAAUAAAACGUGUAAUAUUGGUGUACCAAGAACCAGAUUAAUAGAAUUUAAGCAUUCAGUAGUUAACCAGAAUUGAUAGUAUUAAAUGAGGGAUUCAAAGCACUUAUUCAAUGUUUAGAAGUCAAAGAAAGAAACUUUUUUAAAAAAGAACUUUUCUUUUUAUCUCUUUUUCCUCAUCCUUGCACUUAACUGCUGGUGUACAGUGUUGCGACUUUGGUCACAAUCUUAACCUCAAUCUAUGAGUUUACUAAAAGUAGAUCAUGUCAAAUUUAAUUGAUCAAGACGGUUAGGGUUGGGCUGAAAAUGAAUUGGAUUAUUUAGAUCCUUCACUAGAAGUCACAUUAACACUGAACCAUAAAGUAAUGCACUAACUGUCAGCUCUAAUGAUCCAACCAAUCCAAAAUUAGAUUUAUUGGACUGAGAUUUUUCAACCUUAAUAUAGUAUAUAUACUAGUAUAUAUGCAAGUACUCAGUUGAAUAAUGCAGCCCUACCUGUUGACUUCAGUAUCCACUUCUAGACUACAAGCUCAAGCAUGUAGCCAGCAGGCUUGACUAUAUUUAACAAUCCUUAGCUUAAUCCAGUGGUUGUUAUUGUUGGCUUAAAUGGGUCAGCAUCCUGCUUUGUGCCGGAAGGUCAUGUGGGCCGAGUCAUGUUCGAAAUGACGUGAGGCUGGGUUGGGCCGAGUCAUGUUCGAAGUGGCGUGAGGCCGGAUGGGCCGAGUCACAAUCAAGACUCGUGGAUUCUGUAUCUGUACGCUUUAAGUAAAUUGAUUGCGUAUUUCUAACAGCUCGAGCUUUUGGGAUUAAUGAUUAGCGCCAACGAUUCGACAAGUGGUAUCAGAGCCAGUGGUCACGGGUUCGAUUCCCACAUGCUGCAAAUGUGUGCAGGUGCUGGAGAGGGGAUUGUUGGCGUAAAUUGCCUUGUGGCGAGAGGCCAUGUAGGCCGAGUCAUGUUCGAAGUGGUGUGAGGCCGGGUGGGUCGAGUCAUAAUCGAGAUCCGCGGGUGCUGUAUAAAGCAAAUUCUCCAUAGCUCUAUUUACAAAAUUGAGAAAUGAUUUGGUACUUUAUUUUUAAAAAAAUAAAAAAGAUUUUAAACGUUGAUUAAUAGAGGGUAAAGAUGUAAUUUUAAUAUUUAGCAGGUAAAAGGGUUCCUUCAUUCGAGAUUAGUUUGGUAAUUAAACUAUGCAACAUUUAAAAAAACUUUUAAUUGAUAUCCUAAAUUUACGCAUUAAUUUGCAAUAGUUUGGAUUAUAGAUUGAUUACCUAGUAUCGUUUGGUUCGGGGAUAAGCAAAAAGUGGCUAUUCCAGGAAUAGGUAUAAAUUGAGAUAUAAGCGGGGAUUAGAUCAAUUUUGCGUUUGGAUGAAAAUUGGGUUAUUUCUGGGAAUAAAAAAAAUAGCGUUUGGUUAGGUAAGAUUGAAUAAGAAGGAUAGUAGAUUUUAUAAAUAAAAAGUAAUGAUAUUAUCCUUUUAUUAUAUUUGAAUUUGAAUUUUUAAAAUUUUAAAUUUAUAUUUUUAAAUUUAAAAUUUUAACUUUAAAAUUUUAAAAUUUGAAAUUUAAAAUCUCAAAUUUUAAAUUCAAAAUUUUAAAUUUUAAAUUUCAAACUUUAAAUUUAAGAUCAAAUUUAAAUUUUAAAAAAUAAAUAAUCAAAUUUUAAAUUUAAAAAAUUUAAAAUAUCAAAUUUUAAAUUUCAAAAAUUUAAAAUAUCAAAAUUUAAAUUUAAAAUUUAAAAUUAUAAACUUUAAUUUUGAGAUUAUAAAUUAUAAAUUUUAAAAAUUUAAAUUUUUAAUUUUUAAAAUUUAAAUUUUUAAUUUUAAAAUUUUAAAGAAUAAGAGUGGGAACAAUUAUAAAAUAAUUUAUUAUAAUAAUAUAUAAAUUUUUUGAAAAUUCUACUUAAAACUUAAAUUUAAUAAAAAGAAUUUAUUAUAAUAUUUAAAUAUAUUUAUUAUAAUUUAUUAGAAUAUUUAAAUAAUAAAUAAUAUGUAUUAAUAUAGUACAAUUAAUAAUUUUAAUAAUAAAAAUAAUGUAUUUAAUAUAUACAUAUUAAAUUUAUAUAAUUUAGUUUUAGUUCAAUUUAAAUUUUAAUUAAGUUUGAAAUUAAGUAUUGGAAUAGCACUAUUCCACCAAAAUGGUAGAAUAGUAAAUUCAUUGCUAUUCCAGGAUAACUGAGAAUAGCAAAGUUUGACCGGGAUAAAAUAUCCCCGCCAAAUUUCAUCCCGUUUGGCAGAAUAGCGGGGAUAACUUUCGUUAUCCCCGCUUAUCCCCCGAACCAAACGGGUUAGUGUUUCUAUAGGCAUUAAUUUAAAUUAUAGGAAUUUUAGAAAUAAUUCUAUUUCUAAAUACGUUGAAUUUAAAUAUUAAAUAUUUAAAAAUUAAAAUAUUAAAAUUUAAGUUAGAGGAAUUUUGUAUUACUAUUGAAAAUUUUUUUAAUAUUGUUAAAUAUUUUAAUUCAACAUAUUUAAUAUAUUUAAGAAACUUUUAAAUUCCUAUAGUUUAGACAUUAAUUUUGUAUCACUUACUUAAAAAAAUUGAAUAUAGGUAAAAAAAUUGUAAAUUAAAUGUGUUUAAUAUGUUAAAAAAAAAUUCGAAUUGUUCUACUCUAGACAUUAAUUUUGUAUCACUAUUUAAAAAAAUUUGUAAUAUUGGUAAAUAUUUAAAUUUAACAUAUUUAAUAUGUUUAACAAAAUUAUGAAUUCAUCUUAGACAUUAAUUUUACAUUACUAAUUUUAAAAUUGAAUGUGGGCAAAUAUUAAAUUCAACAUAUUUAAUAUGUUGAAUUUAGUGCCAUGUGGUUUCUUUUUUAUUUUUUUAUUAUCAAUUCUAUUAAUUUUUUUCGUGAAAUUAGUAACAAAGUUAAAACUAAAGGGUACUAAAGUGAAUAUUCGAUAAACUUAGGUGGACUAAUCUGAAGUUCUUUGUAUAUAAUUUAAUAAAAUAUUAACGAAAAAACUGACCAAAAGAUAAAAAUAAAAUCAUAGGACACUAACUUGAUAAACUUUAAACCACAGGGUACUAAAGUAAGAAAAUAUAAAAUCAUAGGGUAGUAUUUGAAGUUUACCUUUGUUAUUUUUGGCAUAUGCCUCUAUUUGAGGAGAUAGUCGAGUCCACCUACUAUACUAUCAAUAACACUAAGCGUCUGGUGCUAUCGAGUUUUUUGCCGUUAGAUUAUCUCUUUGACUAUUUUUAUCCGUUAGAUCAUACUAUUCAACCAACCAACCACCCACUCAAAUCUAGAGAACUACUAUCAUCCUAACUGCACAUUCCCUAAUUCAAGAGCCGAAAACCUACCAGCAUCAAUGACUUAGUACUAUUAAUAAUAUUCUAGUCUAGUUCGAGAAAGUCUACUAUACAUAUUUAUAUUUCAUUAUCAACAAUCGGUCAAUCACAUUAUUUUUUUUAGAAAAAAAGUAUAAUAAAAAUAUUUUUUUAAUAAUCAUAAUGUAACAGCUGAAUUCAAAAAAAAAUAUUUAAUUUGUUGGAGAUGCUAACUCAGCAAUAUAACUAGCCAGUGUUUGGAUUGGGGAUAAGGGGAGGGAUAACCUCUUAUCCCCCUUUAUACCCAAAUGCAAAUUUUUUACCCGAAAAUAGUAGUUCUCGGUUAUCUAAAAUAAUCUGGUAUAACUAUCUACAUCAACACCUCUAUUUUCUAUACAUAACUAUUUAUUAUUUUUCUUAUUCCAUAUUAUCUAUCCAAAGUCCAAACGUCAUUUUUUUUAUUUUCGGGAACAACCAAUUUUCAUCCAAACGCUAUUUUUUUUAUCCUCAUACUUGUACUUAUUUCUGUAAUAACUAGUUCUUUCUUAUACCUAAACCAGACGCUUGUACGCUACCCUAGUGUAUGCUAAAUUUUUUUUCCAUUUAAAGGUGAAGGCCCACCGAAGCCAUGAGGAUCCAACACAUAACCCACAUUAAAUGGAAUUAAGAGUUGGAUCCGGAUUUGUCGUAAGCAUCCGGAUCCGAGAUCGCCAUUUAUCCAAACGGACCAAACCCUAGUGUUUCGCCUUGGGACACAUCACACGUUGGCUCCUCCUGUUGGUUCGAACCUUUUGUAAUUUUCCUUCUUUGUAUUUUCCUUUUCACUCCCUCCUCUCGAGCACGCUUCAUACGCUUUGCUCGCGCGUAUACUCGUUCUCGUUCUUAGAUUCUCGAAGAAGAGGUAAUGCAUUUUCCCCAAAUCCUUCUUUUUGAUCCUUCUAACCGUUAAAAAAAAGAAAUACUUUGUCGCAAGAUUAUUCGAUUAGUCCCAAAGAUGGGGUUUUUGCUUUAUUAUUAUUAUUUUUUGCAUAUGCACGCUUAUUGUUUGAUGAAAUGCCUCUGAAGAUUCGUUUGUGUUCAUCUACUUGUUUUAGCUCUGCAUAUAAUGGUGGGGCUCUCGGAGGGGGAGAAGCAUUUCAUUCGCGGCGGGAUCGCGCAAGACCUUCGAUCGGACGGCCGUAAGAGGCUUCAGUUCCGGUCUAUCUCCGUCGAGACCGGAGUCAUCCCGCAGGUUGCAUCUUAUAUUCCAUCAAAAAAUUUGCUUAUUGGGUUAAAGUAUGAGAAUUUAUUUCAUUCUCUAUGUAUUCUUUGUGCUUGAAUUUCUGGGGCUUCAUGAUAGGCAAAUGGUUCGGCUCGUGUUAGGUUGGGUGCGACGGACGUCAUAGCUAGCAUUAAGGUACGAAUAUUU
rnacentral:lncRNA from 1 species